rnacentral:lncRNA from 1 species
CUUACCCAACCUACGUUUGCCUAUCAAUUGUCGGCCUAAACAUGAAACUAUCUUAAUUAACAAUAUCGAUGAAUCAAAACAACAAUAUUCACUUUAUCAACUUUUAAUCUCAAUCCCACCCCAAAUUCAUUUACAACCAUACGAUUAACUGAUUUUAAUAGAGAACCAACCGAUCAAGUCACGACAAUUAUAGAAGCUCAAACACAUAAUCUGAAUCAUAUCAUCAAACUCAUACAAUUCACGUAAUUAACAUCAACACACCACAUUAAAAUAAAAACAAAAGAAGAACAGAGUUGAAGAAAUGGACCUCAAAUGAUAUUUUGCAAUUAUAAUGAUAUCAACAUCAACAAUAGACGAAAGGAGCGACUUCAAACACGGAACCUCGAACGAAAACCAAAUUCGUGUAUAGAAAUCCAACCUCAAGAGAUUUAGAUGAAUCCAAAACCCGAACUCUCGGACGAUAAAAACCUCAACAACGUCUGAACCAACUCGAAAUUGAGCACCCACAACCCGAACGGAUCAGAAUUCCAAACCAGUAAGAAAUAGUAGAAUAUCCGGAACAAGAAUUUCAAUGGAAACCUAAAACCGAUCAUAAAACUCUAGAAAUCCGAACCAAAAAAGAAAUCGUUGAGAAUAGAGAAUCAUCAAAACCCGAAUCAAAACUGAUUUUUCCCUUUUUAGGAGUAGCCGAAUUCGGUUGUGGUUUUCACCAGAAUUAUGGAGGAUGUGGUUGUUUUCCAAUGGGUCAUUUUUGGAGAGAGACGGUGGAUUCUGAUGAACCAUUCACCUAAAAAAUCGAACCAAUCAACUGAGGUAUCUCCAUUCUGCGUUUUCACACUUCUCACUCGAUUUCAGCUCACUCCCUCUCUUUGUUGUAUCUUUCUCUCCGCUCCUCACCGUUUUCGAUCUCUGGUCACCCUCGAUCUCUGUCCCUCACAUUAUUCUGCUACCAGCUAUCUCUCUAUUUCUCUUCUCUACCUCACGAUCUCCCUCUCAAUCUCUUUAUUGUGUGUAUUUCCGGUGGUUGUGCAUGAAUGCGUGUAUUCUAAGGGAAGAUAAAUAAGGGAUGAAUAUGGUGAAUCCCCCUUCUUUGAUCUGUAUAUGUGUGUAUAUAUCCCUGAAGUAGAAAAGAAGAGCCCCCUCUUUUUCUUUUUAAUUCAAGACCCCCCAAAAAUUAAAAAUCCCCCCACUUUAUUUCUGUAUGUAAUCGUGUAUGUAUACGUAAGGUUGAGUGAAUUUGUUUUGCUGUGGGGCCAUGUAUGUGAGGUGUUCUGAGGGAAAUUUCCUAGAAAAUUCUUUCUAGUUAUAUGUCUUUGUGGACAAGAAAAAGAGAGGGGGAGGUGUUUUUUUUUAAUUGGAGGGGUAAGGGUUAGGUGUCUUAUUUUAAUUGAAAGGGUUGUUAGGAUGUUAAAAAGAAUAAAAGUUUGUUAGGGAUUUUGUUGAGAGUUGUUUUUUUUGUAUCUUUUGUGGGAUGUAAUUACAUGGGUGAGGGUAUACGGUAGGAUAAGGUAAAAAUGGAUAAAAAGUCAAUUUUGGGAGGACAAAAUUAGGUGUCUACAACAUGCCCCCUUUGAAUGUAAACACGAAGUGUUUUCAGACAAAGAAGUAGACAACGACACAAAAUUUUAUCCCGACCAUUAUUCAAAGAGAAUGAAACAAAAGUGAGUAGGGAAACCGAGUCUACACUUAGGACAUCCUACCUACCCAAGUUACGAAGGAAUCAAUUGACACAUAUCUCCAAGGAUUGGAAGAAGAUGGACAAUAUCGAGUUGGAGAGUCGAGUGAGGUCCUGUCGAGGUUUCGGUUCCCGGCUCUGUUAUUACAUCAAAAAUGAAAAUUACAAGUUAAUGUCACACCCCUUUUUUUCUUAAAACUCAAAAAAAGAUAUCAUUUUAUGUUUGAAAGGGUUUUAUUAUUAAGGUGACAAAAAUGAAAAAUUUGUUUGGAAGAAGGAUUGUUUUUACAUUUGAAAUCAGAGUCGCCACUUGGCAUAAUAUGGUGUGCCAAGUCACCAUUGGAAAAUCCUUUCUAAAACCAUUUGACUCUUUAAACUGGUUUGCGAAUAGAGAUUCCAGCUAAGAAAUUCUGUUGACCAAGGGGAAGGUGUUAGGCACCCCUCAAUCCUGUGGUUCGACCACGGUCGCUUGGUGGAACAUAUCGGCUAAUUCGACACUAAGAGUGUAUAAACCACAAAAAAACAUACAAACCAAUCAAUCAAACAAACAAACAAAAAAUCCAAAAUUAUAGUGUUCAAUCCAAUUAUUACAAUCCAAAAAUAGAAAAAUGCAAAAAAUAUAAAUCCUAUUCUAAGUUAGUCCUAGACUAAGCUCCAAUGCUUCACCCGAUGCCUCGGGCCUUCGUAUCGAUCAUCUUCCGCCAACGUAGUACGUCGGGACAUUUCCCAGUGAAUAAAUACAAAUACCGCGGGGCAUUCCCCGGCCAAAUGAAUACACUUUUCAAAUGCGGGCAAAUAAGACAUUCAACAAAUAUUUCAAACAUUCUAAUAAUCCCCCCAUUCUAAAUUUGCCUACCCGACCUAAUGUUUGUCUGCCCGCUCGACGACAUAUCAUAUUCAACAUCAACCAUAAAUCAAAAUACCAUAAUAUUCACUUUUUACUAAUUUUCGAUCCCCGUCCCGAUUCAUUCUCAACCAAUGAUUAACACAGCAUCCAACACUUUUCAAAUCACUUUUCAAAAUCCGAAACCAACAUCCAACACAUACACCCAACGAAGAUUCAAACUAAGCACACGAGUCAUCCACAACAACAAUUAAUAUUUUUGCUCAAAGUAUUCAAAACCACACCAUAAAAUCACAACAUUAACCAAAUUUGAGAAAAUGAAAGAGCGAAGUUAAGAUAUAAAACUUCAAAGAAUCAAUUUCGUAGAUAAUAUAGAAUUAAAGGAACCCGAAUCCGAGACCCCGAAUAGGAAAACCUCAACAACUAUGAAAUCCAAGUACGGUUUUGAAGAACCGAGACACGAAAUGGAAUUCAACAAAUGGGUUAUGACAAACCAAAGCCUAAAUCCCCAAGACAACAACGACUACCAAUGAACCCGAGACAGAAAUUGCAACAGCACAAACCCGAAUCAAAUUGCGAAGCAAUGAGAAAACCGUACCAGAAUUCGCAUACCAGUCACAGUUUCAACCAUUUUCUGACGAACUUCACCGGAAUCAGACUGAAAUGGAUCAAACUUGGUCGAUUUUAUCUGAUUAUGGGGUAGAGCCGAUGCUGUUUUGGUCAGAAAUUAGGGCUAGUGAUGUUUUUCGAUAGCUUUGACCAGAUUUGUAAUGGCUUUGGCGUAUUUCUGGAGAGAUUGUCAUCGGAACAGUAAUCGCCACUCUCUUCUCCCUCAAUUUCAAUCACGGAUCUCUCUCUCUCGCCGUCUCUCACUGUAUGGCUAUGUGUAUCAUGUGCAUGUAUGAGUGUUUCUUCUCCGGUGAGGUGUGUUAAUGGACUUCUCAUGAGUGAAUUGUGGGUGUAUAUAUGGUAUAUGCAGAUAGUGAGUGGAAUUGUGAGAGUGGGUGAGGCAGUGGGUACACGUGGGUAGGGGUAAGAGGUAGGGUGUGGGGUGGUGAUGUGUUGUCCAAAAUUGAUAGGAGGAGUGGUUAAUUUUUUUACCAAAGAAUAAUUGAGGAUUAAGUUUGUUAGUGGGUUUGUUAUUAUUUUUUUUUGUAUUUUUGUGGGGUGUAAUUAACAUGGGUAAGGGUGUAUGAUAAAGUGAGGUAAAAAUAAUAUCGGGGAGGGACAAAAUUAGGUGUCUACAUCAUGCCCCCUUUGAAUGUAAACACAAAGUAUUUUCAAAUAAAAAAGUAGACAAUGAGACAAAAUUUUGUCCCGACCACUUUUCAAAGGAAGAAAAAGAAUGAAGAAGGACAAUCGAGUCUUAACUUAGGAAAUCCUACCCAGCCAAGUUAUGAGGAAGUCACAAGUAUCUCAAAGGGUUGGAAAAGAGGAAUUAUACCGAGUUGGAGAGUCGUGUGAGGCCCUAUCGAGGUUCCGGUCCGCGGCUCUGUCAUUACAUAAAAAAUGAAAAAUUACAAGAGUUAAAAAGAUAAAUAAAAUUACAAAAGUCCUAUCUAUGCAGCUUCUUUUGAACUCUUGACUUGAGUUUCAUCACCCUAUUCUUCAUGCGGGCUCCUGAAUUGUAAUUUCUUCAACAUGUUGCUUGCCUUUCAAUUUCCACACCCUGUUCUCCAAGCGGUUUCCUGACUUGCUAUUUCAUCAACUUGUUCCUAUGCUUUUCAAUUUCUACAUUCUAUUUUCCAAGCGGGUUCCUGACUUGCUAUUUUAUCAACUUGUUGCUAUGCUUUCAAUUUCUUCACCCUGUUCUGUAGGCGGGCUGCUGACUUGCUAUUUCAUUAACUUGUUGCUAUGCUUUCAAUUGCUUCACCCUGUUUUGUAGGUGGGCUCCUGACUUGCUAUUUCAUCAACUUGUUCUAUGCUUUCAAUUUUUUCCACCCUAUUAUGUAGGCGGGCUCCUGACUUGCUAUUUUUCAAUCUGUUUAACUUUCAAUUUCUUCACCUUGGUGCUUGGUUUUCCAUUUAUUCGCCCUGUACUUCGGGCAUGCUCCUGAAAUCACAUCAAAACUGAAAAAAAAAUUAUCCCAAAUAAAGAAAUGCAUUUUCUAUGAGUUAAUUGGAAUGACUCGACUAAAAGGUACGUCUUUUAGGAAUCAAGGGGCUGACUCGACUACAAGGUACGUCUUAUAGGAAUCUAGGGGGAUGACUCAACUAAAAGGUACGUCUUAUAGGAAUCAAAGGGAAUGACUCGAAUAAAAGGUACGUCUUCUAGGAAUCAAGGGAAAUGAAUCGACUAAAAUGUACGUCUUCUAGGGGUCAAAGGGGAUGACUCGACUAAAAGAUACAUCUUAUAGGAGUCAAAGGGAAUGACUCGACUAAAAGGUACAUCUUAUAGGAAUCAAAGGGGAUGACCCGACUAAAAGGUACGUCUUAUAGGAAUCAAAGAGGAUGACUCGACUAAAGGGUACGUAUUAUAGGAAUCAAAGGUGAUGAAUCGACUAAAAGGCACGUCUUAUAGAAAUCAAUAGGAAUGAUUCGAAUAAAAGGUAUAUCUUAUAGGAAUCAAAGGGAAUCACUCGACUAAAAGGUACAUCUUAUAGGAAUCAAUAGGAAUGACUCGACUAAAAGGUUCGUCUUAUAGGAAUCAAAGGGGAUGACUUGACUAAAAGGUAUGUCAUAUAGGAAUCAAAGGGGAUGACUCGACUAAAAGGUAUGUCUUAUAGGAAUCAAAGGGGAUGACUGGACUAAAAGAUACGUCUUAUAGGAAUCAAAGAGGAUGACUUGACUAAAGGGUACGUCUUAUAGGAAUCAAAGGGGAUGAAUCGACUAAAAGGCACGUCUUACAGGAAUCAAUAGAAAUGACUCAACUAAAAGGUACAUCUUAUAGGAAUUAAAGGGAAUGACUCGACUAAAAGGUACAUCUUAUAGGAAUCAAUAGGAAUGACUCGACUAAAAAGUUCAUCUUAUAGGAGUCAAAGGGGAUGACUCGACUAAAAGGUAUGUCAUAUAGGAUUCAAAGGGGAUGACUCGACUAAAAGGUACGUCUUUUAGGAAUCAAGACUUAAGUUAGGAAGUGCAUUACCUAAGAAGCAAAAUUUGAAUUACCCAAUCAAGGAAGUGUGUUUCCUUAUCAAUGUUGUUUGAAUUAUUAAAUCAAGGGAGUGCGUCUCUUAGAGAUCUUGAAUUAUGAGUUUUACCAUGGUUUUGAUUACCAAACUUGUGCAACAACCUUGCUUCUUGUAUUUGUUAAGGUGAAAAAUUACGGCCUUUAAUGUUUAGGCUCUAAAAUCCUUGAUCUGAAUGCAACAUGUAUUCCUAUUACAUACAAAAAAAACUCGUGAGUUUAAAAACAUGGUGGCUAGUUUGUGGCUUUGGAUUUUGAGACAAUUGCUCCUGCCCCCGUCACAUUUAGCUUUGCUUCCAACCAUUAGCAUAUGUCAUUGACUUACUGUAUCAUUGACUCAAACUCAGCUUAUUAAGAGUGACUCUGAAACAAAUGCAGUAUUUUUGCUUUGUCGUGUUUCUUAAAUAAACCCUUUGAAUCUUGGUAUUUCUAUGAGUUCCCCGACUUCUUUGUUGACAAAACUUCCUGCAUGCCUUUUUUUGGGCUCACAAUCAUGUCUCUUUCAUGUGCUAGCUUUUGUCUUGCUUUGUGCAAUUAAAGAAGCUGGUAGCCAGUUUUGAAAUCUUUUCUCACUUGUUUUGACAUGGACAUGACUCAAAGACAAGAAACGAAAAAAGAAUGACAAUUUUUGUUUUGAUAACUGACUCAAAAAAGAUAAAAUUAAAAUAAAGAGAAGAAAGAAAAGACAAUGAAUGUCCCCUUUAAAAACAAAGAAAUGAAAAAUUCAUCUAAAAAUGACAGUCAACACUAAUGAUUGUGCCAUGCAUUUUGGAUUAAGUAGCUUGCUCUUUUCAUUCAAACUUUUUACCCAUUGUUUUUGAGUUAAUGUCCUUGAAACUGAGUUGUUUUCUUAGGUCAAUUGCGUUUAAUACCCCAUUCGGCUAGUGGCGCCUUGAAGGAUUUUCGCCAACAAGCUUCUUUUAUUUUCUCUCGUCUCACUAUCGCCUUAUGGUGCCCGUGAGGAUUUUCACCAAUAAGACUCUCUCAUUUUUAUUUCUCUCAAUUUACCAUCGCCUUAUGGUGCCCGUAAGGGUUUUCACCAAUAAGACUCUCUUAUUUUUAUUUCUCUCUUAAUUCCCUAUGCUGAGGAAGUUAAAUAGUUCCCAAAUGCAUCAUCAUAUCCCUUGCAUGCUCAUCCUUAAUAUCCUCAAAGAUUGAUUUGAAGGUCUUUCUUUGGUUGUAACUCGGUUUUUGGAUAAGGUUAGAAAGAAAAGAUGACAUGGGGCCCAAACGACACUUGAAAUGGGGUAGGACUUACAACUUUUAGAAUCGACUCAAACAAUGAGGAUUAACUCAUGACCCAAUUUCUUUUGACUGGGUGACUCUAAAUUGUUUAUUUGGUUGGACCGAGCCCUGAGUAGGGCAUCCUACGUAUCUCAUCCCCGAGAGAGAAGAAUCAGGUCAUGCGUAGUUCUGGAAGCUUGUUCUUUUGCUUGAUUCUGAUUCUUUUUCUUUUCUUUUAUUGACUCUUUUCUUUUGGGGAUUUUUCCGACUCUAUUUUUCUUGACACACUUUUUUUCUCUUUUUUUUGGACACAUUUUUUCUCUUCUUUUUUUUUUUUUGAACUUUUAUGACUAUUGUUUUGCUCGACACUUUUCUUUCGAGCUUUGCUGACUAUAUUGAUUCCAAAAAUAGUGUAUGAAAUAAAAUAAGACUAAAGCUUAACUGGGGUAAACAAAGGAUGACACGAUGUUUGACUAGUAGAAUAAAAUGCCUUCGUCAUAUCAAUCUUUAAAAAAUGCAAGUACGUAUCAUGAAAUAUGAAAGUGAAAGAUGAAGAUCUUUUGACAUCUUUUACAGCAUUAACUUUGACUGAGUCUGUGCAUCACUAUUUCUUCUGCGUUUAUAUGGCAUACAACUCUACUUUUGUUGCACAUUCCUCACAUUGAAAGACUCAUGAUUUUGUGGUGCUGAUUUUCUCUUUGUUUAUGCGGCCACUAUUUGAUCUAAUUGAGACAUGUCUUUCAAUUGAUGACCAAGUUAUUCUUGUGAUUCUCAAAAUAAGUGCCUUAAUUUUCAGGAAAGGCUUCAACUUGUCACUAAAUGCCCCAAGACUCUAUCUAUUUUCUCAGAUACUUUAUUUUUCUAAUUUUAACUCUCUGAUCCAAUGCUUCCUGAUCAAGUGGAUUUUAAGAUCUGGCUGAAAAUUUCGCUAGCAUGUCAUAUCACGAAGAAUCAACCUAAAAUGUACUAUGUAAAGAAAACAAACAAACAACACAAAUUUAAAAAAUAAAGGAAAAAGGGACACUCCAUUUAAUAAAAAUAAAAGAUAGGGUUUGAACAUAAACGACAAAGGGACAAAACAAGAUAGAUCCCAAACUACAACCCUGAAAUAAUUCGGAAAACAAAAAAAGAAGACAAAAUAAACUACCAAACCUCUUCUUAGUAGGGAGAUGGGUAAAUUCUCAAUUGCUCAGCCUGACAACUUAGCCGCUGGUUUGCAUAUCAGCAUGACUAGAGCUUCCCUCACUAUCAAUGUUCUGCACCAUAAUUGAUCCAUCAUGAAUCAUCUUUUUAAUUUCUCUUUUCAAAUCUCAACAAUCUUCAAUACUAUGACCCUAAGCCUCAGAAUGAUACGCACAUCGUGCGUUAGGAUCAAAAUUUCUUGAACACCGAUUAAGGAUAUGCCCAAGGAGAGGAGUGAUCAUUCCCUCCUGUACCAAUCUCUCAAAUAAAUUGGCAUAUGACUCUCCAAUUGGUGUGAAGCUAUCUCUCGACAUCUGCCUCAUUUCAUUGUGUGGCUUGGAUAGAAAAUCUGGCUUAGAAGGGUUUUGGUAUGUCUGUGGAGUUAGAGGAUGACUCUGGGGAGUUGGGGUAUGCCAUUGUAGUUAAGAUGAGGGUUGAACAUAUGGUUGUACAUUAUACACUAGAUAUAGAUGUGGAGGAAUAGAGUAUAAUGGAUUUUGGGAGUGAUUAUGUGGAGCCUGGGCAUAAACUUGAGCUUGAGCCUGAUAUCGACGACGAUGUGGUUUUCUUGACCUUUCUUGCUGUCCAACUAUAAUUGCAGAUGCAUCUUCCUCAUUCUUUUUCUCCCCAACACUUCCUGAACCCUUUUGAAUUACUUGAGUAGUCACUUUCAAUGUUGCAAAACUCACAAUACGACCAGUCUUAAUUCCCUCUUCUAUCAUCUCCCCCAUUUUAAGGACCUCAAUGAACAGCUUACCUAAUGCAGGUAACAAGUGUUGAUAAUAUGUUUCGUCCUGCGCUUGAAUAAACACCUCCACUAUUUUUCUUUCUUUCAUUGUCGGUUUUACUCUAGUGGCUUGUUCGCGCCAUCUGAUCGCAUACUCCCUGAAACUCUCAGUAUUCUUCUUUGUUAUACUAGUUAGGGAUUUUUUGUCAGGGAUCAACUCUACAUUGUAUUGAAAUUGUUGCAUAAAUUUGUUAGCUAGGUCAUCCCAACUAAUCCAUUUGUCAAUGUCUUGGUCAACAAACCAUUCUGAAGCAAGACCUGAAAGACUCUCACUGAAAUAUGCCAUGAGUAAUUCUUCCUUCCCUCCAGCGCCCCUUAACUGGUUGCAAUAGCGUCUCAAAUGUGCUACAGGAUCGCCAUGUCCAUCAUACUUUUCAAACUUUGUCAUUUUAAAAUCAAGAGGAAGAUGUACACCAGGAAACAUGCACAGAUCUUUCUAUGAGACACUUUUGUACCCCAAAGUCUUUGCAAGUUUUUGAUAAUCAGUUCCAAACUUCUCAAUUUUCUGGCUAUUUCCUCUUGUUCUUCUGUCAUAAUAGUCUUCUCAGUGUUAGGAGGAAAUUCAGGCAGUUGAGGGCAAACGUAAGGAUCAGUCGACUUAAAUGUAGGCUCGAGAGCAUAAUGCUGAUCACUAAAAAUAUUCAAUUCAGGCUCUCUUGUAGAGUAGGGAGGCACAACUUGUGGAUUAGUGACAACUAACUCGGUAUCCUUGUUGGCCAUAACUUUCUCUGUGACUUGGAGCAAUAUGGAGGACCAGCCAAAAUGCCACAAACCAACCAUCUUAAACUAACUGGACAAGAGAUAGCAAAUAGUUAGAGUUCAACAGUAUUUUUUUAAAACCUCUUUUUUUUUUUGAAAAGAUCACCGAACCCAAGAAGGGCACCUACCUAUCUCACCCCCGAAAGGGGAGAAUCAGGUGUGCUUAGUUCGUGAAGUUUUGCCAAAAAUAGCCAAUUAAACUCUUUUUUCUUUCUUGAAACAAAGUGUCAAAAGAAUUAAAGAAAAUCUUUUUUUUUUUAGGUUUAAAUCUCUAUACAAAAUGAAACCUGUGAUUACCAAAGAAAAAUCUUUUUUGGGUUUCGAUUUUUGAAUUUCAUGUGAAAAUGAAACUUGAACCUAUUAAAGGAAAAAUCUUUUUGUAGUUUUCGUUUAAAGGUGUAUAUGAAACGCCCACUCUAAAUGGAGAGUGAAGAAAUAUUUUUAGAUUUUUUAAAUAAGAUCCCCGAACUAACAAUAGGUUGCCUACGUAUCUCACUCUCGAAAGAGGAGAAUCAGGGGUGCGUAAUUGGUCCAGAUUGGACAAUUAAUGAUUAAAUAACGAAUUGCACCCUGACUUGAGACACGACCAAAGACAUGCGAUAAACAACAUAACAAAAUAUAUUUUUUUUUUUGAGUUUUCAAUUUGACACUUUACAUUAAAAAAUGACAUCAACAGCUAUGAAAGAAAAUCUUUUGGUAUUGUCGUUAUGUAAGAUGUACAAAACUUCUACCACCUUUUUUGAAUUUUUCUUUUAUAAAAAAAAAAUCCUAAAUUUUUUUUGUUUUGAGUUUACGAAUUGUGAAUGCUUGUUAAAUGAAACAAAAGGAAAAUCUUUUUGAUGUUUAAUUUUUUUCUUUAUUAUUAUUAUUAUUAUUAUUAUUAUUAUUAUUAUUAUUUUUGAAAAAUGAGUGCAAAAAGUUAAAAAAAAGUCUUGCUUUUUUUUUUUUUCUUAAAUUUUUGAAUCGUGGAAAACAAAAGCCAUAAAGAACCUAAAACUACGAAACUCUUUUUUGAUUCACCUUUUCUCUUUUUUUUUAAACACUUUCUUGUCUACACACUUUACUUCUAACACAUGUUUUCCCCAAAUCGGUCCAUCAAAUGACCACAUUACUCUCAAAGAUGCAACAUUUAGCACGUAGGGAUCUUUUAAAGGUGAGUCUCCUACAAAGGACCGUGUGGGCCCUGCUAGGUCUUAAUAUGAUGCACAUAAGAAUGAACUAAAGGCUGACCUACGUUGUGGUUUACUAACAAGGCCGUUUGGGGGAGCAUAUGGUCGAUAGUGGCUGCUUUGCUUUCCACCUACUCCAUACCUCCAACGGCUCCCCCCUAAAAUAAAGGUGACUCAACUAGAGUUCGUGCACACAACGUGUGCUCCGAGACUUGUUGCGGAAAGAAUGACUCGAGUGAUGCACAUGAUGUCAGAUAUAAAAGCGGUAACACAUAGCAUAAAUACUGUAAACAAAGAGCACGAAAAUAAAUAAAAGUAAAAACACAAACAAAAUCACAAACAAUGCUUAUACACUCGUAAUGCCAAACAAAGCUGAUACGACUCCAAAAAAAGCUCAGAUUCUGAAAUUUGUCUUCCCCAGCAGAGUCGCUAGAGCUGUCACACCCCUUUUUUUCUUAAAACUCAAAAAAAGAUAUCAUUUUAUGUUUGAAAGGGUUUUAUUACUAAGGUGACAAAAAUGAAAUAUUUGUUUCGAAGAAGGAUUGUUUUUACAUCUGAAAUCAGAGUUGCCACUUGGCAUAAUCUGGUGUGCCAAGUCACCAUUGGAAAAUCCUUUGCAAAACCAUUUGACUCUUUAAACUGGUUUGCGAAUAGAGAUUCCAUCUAAGGAAUUCUGUUGACCGAGGGGAAGGUGUUAGGCACCCCUCGAUCCCAUGGUUCAGCCACGGUCACUUGGUGGAACAUAUCGGCUAAUUCGACACUAAGAGUGUAUAAACCACACAAAAACAUACAAACCAAUCAAUCAAUCAAACAAACAAACAAAUCCAAAAUUAUAGUGUUCAGUCCAAUUAUUACAAUCCAAAAAUAAAAAAAUGCAAAAAAUAUAAAUCCUAUUCUAAGCUAGUCCUAGACUAAGCUCCAAUGCUUCACCCGAUGCCUCGGGCCUUCGUAUCGAUCAUCUUCCACCAACAUAUUACGUCGGGACAUUUCCUGGUGAAUAAAUACAAAUACCUCGGGGCAUUCCCCGACCAAAUGAAUACACUUUUCAAAUGCGGCAAACAAGACAUUCAACAAAUAUUUCAAACAUUUCAAUAAUCCCCCCAUUCUAAAUUUCCCUACCCGGCGUAAUGUUUGUCUGCCCGCUCGACGACAUAUCACAUUCAACAUCAACCAUAAAUCAAAAUACCAUAAUAUUCCUUUUUUACUAAUUUUCGAUCCCCGUCCUGGUUCAUUCUCAACCAAUGAUUAACACAACAUCCAACACUUUUCAAAUUACUUUCAAAAUCCGAAACCAACAUCCAACACAUACACCCAACGAAGAUUCAAACUAAGGACACGAGUCAUCCACAACAACAAUCAAUAUUUUAGCUCAAAGUAUGCAAAACCACACCAUAAAAUCACAACAUUAACCAAAAUUUGAGAAAAUGAAAGAGUGAAGUUAAGAGAUGGACCUUCAAAGAAUCAAUUUCGUAGAUAAUAUAGAAUUAAAGGAACCCUAAUCCGAGACCCCAAAUAGGAAAACCUCAACAACUAUAAAAUACAAGUACGGUAUCGAAGAACUGAGACAUGAAAUGGAAUUCAACGAAUGGUUAUGAAAAACCGAAGCCUAAAUCCCCAAGCCAACAACGACUACCGAUGAACCUGAGACAGAAAUUGCAACAACACAAACCCAAAUUAAAUUGCAAAGCAAUGAGAAAACCGUACUAGAAUUCGCAUACCAAUCACAGUUUCAACCGUUUUCCAAUGAACUUCACCGGAAUCAGACUGAAAUGGAUCAAACUUGGUUGAUUUUGUCUAAUUAUGGGGUCAAGCCGAUGCUGUUUUGGUCAGAAAUCGGGGCUAGUGAUGUUUUCCGAUGGAUUUGACCAUAUUUGUAGUGGCUUUGGCGCGUUUUCGGUGAGAUUGUCCUCAAAACAGUAACCGCCACUCUCUUCUCCCUGAAUUUCAAUCGUGGAUCUCUCUAUCUCUCGUCGUUUCUCACUAUGUGGCUAUGUGUAUCGUGUGCGUGUAUGAGUGUUUCUUCUCUGGUGAGGUGUGUUAAUGGCCUUCUCGUGCAUGAAUAAUGGGUGUAUAUAUGCUAUGAGGUGUGCUAGAGAGUGUAAGUGGGGAUUACUUUUUGUGAGCCCUUUUUUUUCGAGGGAUCCCCUGAAGAAGAAGAAGCCUCAAAAAAUCUUUUCUCCCUUGGUCCCCCCUUUCUUUUCUAUUUUUGUUGUGUAUAUAUGGUAUAUGCAGAUAGUGAGUGGAAUUAUGAGAGUGGGUGGGGCAGUGGGUACACGUGGGUAGGGGUGAGGGGUAGGGUGUGGGGUGGUGAUGUGUUGUCCAAAAUUGAUAGGAGGAGUGGUUAAUUUUGUUACCAAAAGAAUAAUUGAGGAUUAAGUUUGUUAGUGGGUUUGUUAUUAUUUUUUUUUUGUAUUUUUGUGGGGUAUAAUUCACAUGGGUAAGGGUGUAUGAUAAAGUAAGGAAAAAAUGAUAUCGGGGAGGGACAAAAUUAGGGGUCUACUGUUAAAACAUAAAUGAAAUUACAAAAAUUCUAAUCUAUGCAACUUUCCUUGACUUGAAUUUCAUCACCCUAUUCUUCAGGUGGGCUCUUGACUUGCACUUUCUUCAACUUAUAGCUUGCCUUUCAAUCUCUUCACCCUGUUCUCCAGGUGGGUUCCUGACUUGCUAUUUCAUCAACUUCUUGCUAUGCUUUCCAAUUUCUACACCCUGUUCUCCAGGCGGAUUCCUGACUUGCUAUUUCAUCAACUUGUUUCUAUGCUUUCAAUUUUUUUCACCUUGUUCUGCGGGCGGGCUCCUGACUUGCUAUCUCAUCAACUUGUUUCUAUGCUUUUCAAUUUCUACACCUUGUUCUCUAGGCGGGUUCCUGACUUGCUAAUUUUCAAUCUGUUUAAAUUUCAAUUUCUUCACCUUGUUGCUUGGUUUUCCAUUUAUUUGCCCUGUGCUUUGGGCAUGCUCCUGAAAUCACAUCAAAAUUGAAACGAAAAUUAUGCCAAAUAAAGAAAUGCAUUUUCUAUGAGUUAAUUGGAAUGACUCGACUAAAAGGUACGUCUUUUAGGAAUCAAGGGGGAUAACUCGACUAAAAGGUACGUCUAAUAGGAAUCCGGGGGAUGACUCGACUAAAAGGUACGUCUUAUAGGAAUCAAAGGGAAUGACUCAACUAAAAGGUACGUCUUCUAGGAAUCAAGGGAAAUAACUCGACUAAAAGGUACGUCUUCUAGGGUUCAAAGGGGAUGACUCGACUAAAAGGUACGUCUUAUUGGAAUCAAAGGGAAUGACUCGACUAAAAGGUACGUCUUAUAGAAAUCAAUAGGAAUGACUCGACUAAAAGGUACGUCUUAUAGGAAUCAAAGGGGAUGACUCAACUAAAAGGUACGUCUUCUAGGAGUCAAGAUAAAUGACUUGACUAAAAGGUACGUCUUAUAGGAAUCAAAGGGGAUGACUCGAGUAAAAGGUACGUCUUAUAGGAAUCAAAGGGGAUGAAUCGACUAAAAGGUAUGUUUUAUAGGAAUCAAAGGGGAUGACUCGACUAAAAGGUACGUCUUAUAGGAAUCAAAGGGGAUGACUCGACUAAAAGAUACGUCUUAUAGGAAUCAUAGGGGAUGACUCGACUAAAAGGUACGUCUUAUAGGAAUCAAGACUUAAGUUAGGAAGUGCAUUACCUAAGAAGCAAAAUUUGAAUUACACAAUCAAGGAAGUGUGUUUUCUUAUCAAUGUUGUGUGAAUUAUCAAAUCAAGGGAGUGCGUCUCUUAGAGAUCUUGAAAUAUGAGUUUUACCAUGGUUUUGAUUACCAAACUUGUGCAGCAACCUUGCCUCUUGCAUUUGUUGAGGUGAGAAAUUAUGGCCUUUAAUGUUUAGGCUCUAAAUUCCUUGAUCUGAAUGCAACAUGUAUUCCUAUUAUAUACAAAGAAAACUUGUGAGUUUAAAAACAUGGUGGCUAGUUUGUGGCUUUGGAUUUUGAGGCAAUUGCUCCUGCCCCCAUCACAUUUAGCUUUGCUUCUAACCAUUAGCAUAUGCCAUUGACUUGUUGUAUCAUUGACUCAAACUUAGCUUAUAAAGAGUGACUCUGAAACAAACACAGUAUUUCUGCUUUGUCGUGUUUCUCAAAUAAACCCUUUGAAUCUUGGUAUUUCCAUGAGUUCCCCGACUUCUCUAUUGACAAAACUUCCUGCAUGCCUUUUUUGGGCUCAUAAUCAUGUCUCUUUUAUGUUCUAGCUUUUGUCUUGCUUUAUGCAAUUAAAGAAGUUGGUAGCCAAUUUUGAAAUCUUUUCUCACUUAUUUUGACACAGACUUGACUCAAACACAAGAAACAAAAAAAAAGAAUGACAAUUUUUGUUUAAUAACUGACUUAAGAAAGAUAAAAUUGAAAUAAAGAGAAGAAAGAAAAGACAAUGAAUGUCCCCUUUUAAAAAAAAGAAACGAAAAAUUCAUCUAAAAAUGACAGUCAACACUAAUGAUUAUGAUUGCAUUUAAGACCCCAUGCGGCUAGUGGCGCCUUGAAGGGUUUUCGCCAACAAGCUUCUUUUAUUUUCUCUCAGCUCACUAUUGCCUUAUGGUUCCCAUGAGGGUUUUCACUAAUAAGACUCUCUCAUUUUUAUUUCUCUCAACUUUCCAUUGCCUUAUGGUGCCCUAAGGGUUUUCACCAAUAAGACUCUCUCAUUUUUAUUUCUCUCUUAAUUCCCUAUGCUGAGGAAGUUAAAUAGUUUCCAAAUGCAUCAUCAUAUCCCUUGCAUGCUCUGCCUUAACAUCCUCAAAAAUUGAUCUGAAGGUCUUUCUUUGGUUGUAACUUGGCUUUUUAAUAAGGUUAGAAAUAAAGGAUAGCAUGGGGCCCAAACGAUACUUGAAGUGGGGUAGGACUUACAACUUUUGGAAUCGACUAAAACAAUGAGGAUUAAGUCAUGCCCCAGUUUCUUUUGACUGGGUGACUCUAAAUUGUUUAUUUGGUUGGACCGAGCCUUGAGUAGGGCAGCCUACGUAUCUCACCCUCGAGAGAGGAGAAUCAGGUCAUGCGUAGUUCUGGCAGCUUGUUUUUUUCACUUGAUUCUAUGGUUUUUUUUCUUUUGUUGACUCUUUUUAUCUUUGGGAAUUUUCUAACUUUAUUUUUCUUGAUGCUCUCCUUUUCCUCCUUUUGGAAACAUUUUUCUCUUUUUUUUUUUGAAACUUUUUUGACUCUACUGUUUUUCCUGACACCUUUUCUUUUGAGUUUUGUUGACUCUAUAUGAUUCCAAAAAAAGGGUAUGAAAUAAAAUAACACUAAGGCCCAAAUGGGGGACAAAGGAUGACACGAUGUUUGGAUAGUAGAAUGAAAGGCCUCCGUCAAAUCAAUCCUUACAAAUGCAAGUACAUAUCAUGCAAUAUGAAAAUGAAAGAUUAACAUCAUUUGUGGAACAUUAACAACACUAACUUCAACUGAGCAUGUAUGUCACUUCUUUUUCUACACUUGUCAAACAUACAACUCCAUUUUCGUUGUACAUUCCUCAUGCUGAAGGACUCAUGACUUCGUGGAGCUGAUUUUCUUUCUGUUCCUCUUGAUAUAGGAUCACACAGCCACUGUUUGACCUAAUCGAGACAUGUAUUUCAAUUUAUGACCAAGUUAGUCUUGCCUUGAUUUUGAAAGAAGACUUCAACUUGGUCACCAAAUGUCUCAACACUCUACCUAUUUUCUCAGAUGUUUUUUCUACUCAGAUGUUUUUUCUAACUUUAACCCUCUGUUCCAUGCUCAUGCUUCAACUGUAUUUUAAAAUCUGGCUGAAAAUUCCACAGGCAUGUCAUAUCACUAGAAUCAACAUAAAGUGACUGUAUAAAGAAAACAAACAAACAACACAUAUUUGAAACACAAAAGGAAAGGGACACUUCAUUUAGUUGAAAUAAAAGAUAAAAGGAUUUGAACAUAAACGACAAAGGGACAAAACAAAAUAGAUCCCGAACUACAACCCUGAAAUAAUUUGAAAAAUAGAAUAGAAAACAAAACAAACUACCAGACCUCUUCCUAGUAGGGAGAGGGGUGACUUUUCAAUUGCUCAGCCUGACAUAUUAGCCACUGGUUUUCAUAUCAACACGACUAGAGCUUCCACCACUGUCAGACAUAUUUCCUUCAAUAAAUAAGCUCUGUAUAUCCAUGCUUAACUCAUUGCCUCUCACAUAUUGUGCAGUACCGCGUGCUGGUGAAGAACUCUGUGGGAUGGUUGAAGGGCCAAUGUUUUGCACCACAAUUAAUUUAUCUUGAAUUAUCUUUUCUAUUUCUCUUUUCAAAGUGCGACAAUCUUCAGUACUAUGACCCUGAACAUCAGAAUGAUAUUAACAUCGCACAUUAGGAUAAAGCUUCUUGAAUGUGGUUCAGGAGUAUACCCAAGGAGAGGAGUAAUCAUGCCCUACUGUACCAAUCUCUGGAAUAAACUGGCAUAGGAUUCCCCAAUAGGAGUGAAAUUAUCUUUUUCCUUCCUCCUCUUUCCGAACUCUAGCCUCGGAUGAAAUUUAGAUUUAGAGGUCCCUUGGUAAAUUUAUGGGGGUCGAGGAUAAUGUUGAGGGACAGGUGAAUGCCAUUGUGGAUAAGAAGAUGGAUGAGCAUACAAUUGUGUAUUGUUCAUAGGAUAUCGAGGAAGUGGAAUGGGAUUUCUUGGAUUUUGGAGAAAGAAACCUUGUUGCAAGUGGUUAUGUGGAUCUGAUANNNNNNNNNNNNNNNNNNNNNNNNNNNNNNNNNNNNNNNNNNNNNNNNNNNNNNNNNNNNNNNNNNNNNNNNNNNNNNNNNNNNNNNNNNNNNNNNNNNNNNNNNNNNNNNNNNNNNNNNNNNNNNNNNNNNNNNNNNNNNNNNNNNNNNNNNNNNNNNNNNNNNNNNNNNNNNNNNNNNNNNNNNNNNNNNNNNNNNNNNNNNNNNNNNNNNNNNNNNNNNNNNNNNNNNNNNNNNNNNNNNNNNNNNNNNNNNNNNNNNNNNNNNNNNNNNNNNNNNNNNNNNNNNNNNNNNNNNNNNNNNNNNNNNNNNNNNNNNAAUUUUGAUGUCUCAAAGCUGGGAGGAAGGUUAACACUUGAAGACAUGCCCCAGGUUUUAUAUGAAACAUCUUCAUAGCCCAUAAGUCCAGGGGAAUUUUUCAUAUCAUUUUCUACACUCUUUACUUUCCCAACCACUCUCUCUGGCUCUUUUGGCAUGCUAGUCUUCUUAGUAAGAAAUUUUGGCGGUUCACUUAACUUAACUGUAGGCUCAAGAGUAUACCAAUGAUCAUCAACAGUAUUGAACGUGGAGUCACUAGUAGACUGGGGAAGCACAAUUAUUGGAUUGAUAGACAAAGUGGAAGCCUUAGUAGAAGGUUGAGCAACAAAAGCACAGACGGUAUGUUGUGCUGUGAAUGUGGUUGUGGUAGACUUAUACUGAGGAGAUAAAGAAAGAGUAGUGGAAGUGUUGACGUGCAUUUGAUGUGGAAUGGAUUCUGAGGCAUGCUGUGGUGCAUCAACAACAGUAGGAAACUGAUUUUGCAAUUUUGGUGGAAGACUCAAGGUAUUUGCAGGGUCAAAACUGGGGAACGGGGGUGGAGGCAGCCCACUGGCCCAAGCUCGAUACAUUCCCAUCAUUUGUUGUCUCAAUCUCAAAUUCUCUUCCUUUAAACUCUCAAUUUCCUGACUCUUUGUUUCAUCUAUGAUGACACUCUCUAUAUCCUUAUUGGACACAACUAACCCUUCCUUGGAUUUAGUGUGAUAUGGAGGACCAACCAGGAAACCACAAACCAACCACCUUAAACUAACUGAACAAGAGACAACAAAUAUGUUAGAGUUCAACAUUUUUCAAAAACCUUUUUUUUUCUUGAAAAAAUAUCACCGAACCCUAGAAGGGUGCCUACGUAUCUCACCCUCGAAAGGGGAGAAUCAGGUGUGCGUAGUUCGUGAAGUUAUGCCAAAAUGGCCAAUUGAACUCUUUUUCUUUUUUUUUCCUCGAAACUUUAAGAAGAAAAGAAAAUAACAAUUUGUCAAAAGAAUUGACGAAAAUGUUUUUGAAUUUUUCAGCUUUAACAUCCCUAUACAAAGUGAAAUCUAUGAUUACCAAAGAAAAUCUUUUUGGGUUUUCAGUUUUAAAUUUCAUAUGAAAAUGGAACUUGAACCUAUUAAAGAAAAAUCUUUUUGUAGUUUUCUUUUAAAGAUGUAUAUGAAACACCUACUCUAAAUGAAGAAUGAAGAAAAUCUUUUUUGAAUUUUUGAACUAAGAUCAAUCAAAAAUGAAACCUACGACUAUUGAGAAUUUUUUUUUCUUUGUAUUUUUCUUUUCAAUACAUGUAUGAAACACCUACUCUAAAUGAAGAGUGAAAAAAAAUCUUUUUUAAUUUUUUUUUAAAUAAGAUUCCGGAACCAACAAUAGGUUGCCUACGUAUCUCACAUCCCCAAAGAGGAGAAUCAGGGGUGCGUAGUUCAUCCAAUUUGGACAAUUAAGGAUUCACUGAUAGAUUGACCCUAACUUAAGAGACACGACCAAGGACAGAUGAAUAAAAUCUUUUUGAGGUUUUCAAUUUGAGACUUCACAUAAAACUGACACCAACAACUCCGAAAGAAAAAUCUUUUUGGCAUUUUUGUUAUAAGAAAUAUACAAAACUUCUACUAACUUUUUUUCAUUUUUCUUUUAUAAAAGCUCCUGUAAAAAAAAUCUUUUUUGGAAUUUUUGAAUUAUGAAUGCAUGGUAAAGGAGUAAAGGAAGAUCUUUUUGAAUUCUUUAAGAAAAUGAGUGCGAAAGGUAAAAAAUCUUUUUGAAUUGUGAAAAACAAAAGUCAUAAAGAACUCUAAAAAUAAACUACGAAACUCUUUUUUUUUAUUCACCCUUUUUUUUCAACACUUUCUUGUCUACGCACUUUACUUCUAACACAUGUUUUUCCCAAAUCGGUCCGUCAAAUGACCAUAUUACCCUCAGAGAUGCCACAUUUAGCACGUAGGGAUGCUUUAGAGGUGAGUUUCCUACAAAGGGCCGUGUGGGUUCCUCUAGGUCUCAAUAUGAUGCACAUAAGAAUGACCUAAAGGCUGACCUACGUUGUGGUUUACUAACAAGGCCGUUCGGGGAAGCAUAUGGUCGAUAGUGGCUACUUUUCUUUCCACCUACUCCAUACAUCCAACGGCUCCCCCCCAAAAUAAGGUGACUCAACUAGAGUUCGUGCGCACGAUGUGCCCUCUAAGACUUGUUGACUCGGGUUAUGCACAUGAUGUCAGAUAUAAAAGCGGUAACACAUAGGAUAAAUACUGUAAACAAAGAGCACGAAAACGCACAAAAGUGAAAGCACAAACAAAAAUCACAAGCAAUGCUUAUACACUCGUAAUGCCAAACAAAGCCAAUAUGACUUCGAAAAAAGCUCGGAUUCUGAAAUAGUUCCCCAGCAGAGUCACCAAAGCUUUCACAUUCCUUUUUCGUACUCUAAAAAAUUAUGGAUUAAGUUUCGAAAGGGUUUUUAUUAUUAAAGUGACAAAAGAUGAAAAUUAGUUUCGAAAAGGACUUUUUAUAUUCAAAACUCAGAGUCGCCACUUGGCAUAAUCUGGUGUGCCAAGUCAUCUUUGUAAAUCCUUUUCAAAAUGAUUUUUGACUAUUUUAAACUGAUCCGCGAAAAGAGAUUUCGGCUAAGGAAUUCUGUUGAUUGAGUGGAAGGUGUUAGGCACCCCUCGAUCCCGUGGUUCGACCACGGUCGCUUGGUGGAGUGUAUCGACUAAUUUGACAUUACAAAUAUAUAAACCACACAAAAACACAUACAACAAUCAAUCAAACACACAAAAUAAAACAAAUCCAAAAUUUAGUGUUCAGUCUAAUUAUACAGGCCCAAAUAAAUAAAAAUACAAAAAUAAAUCCUAUCUAACCGACACUAAUCCUAACUACGCUCUCGUGCUUUACCCGAUGCCUCGGACCUUGAUCACGAACCUUCUUUGCUUACAUGAUCCAUCAGGGCAUUCCCCGAUGAAUAAAUACAAUGUGUCUUGGGGCAUUCCCCGACUAAAUGAAUACAUUUGAAUUAAAUACGAUAAACUAGAAAGAAACAUUCACACGCACAUUCCACAUUCAACGAAACAACGAAGUUCUAAAUUUUCUUACCCAACCUAUGUUUGCCUAUUAAUUGUUGGCCUAAUCAUGAAACUAUCACAAUUAACAAUAUCGAUGAAUCAAAACAACAAUAUUCACUUUAUCAACUUUUAAUCUCAAUCCCACCCCAAAUUCAUUUACAACCACACGAUUAACUGAUUUCAAUAGAGAACCAAUCGAUCAAGUCACGACAUUUAUAGAAGCUCAAACACAUAAUCUGAAUCAUAUCAUCAAACUCAUACAAUUCAUAUAAUUAACAUCAACACACCAUAUUAAAAUAAGAACAAAAGAAGAACAGAGUUGAAGAAAUGGACCUCAAAUGAUGUUUGUAAUUAUAAUGAUAUCAGCAUCAACAAUAGACGAAAAGAGCGACUUCGAACACAGAACCUCGAACGAAAAUCAAAUUCGUGUAUAGAAAUCCAACCUCAAGAGAUUCAGAUUCUGAUUGAAAAUAACGAAUGAAUGAAUCCGAAACCCGAACUCUCGGACGAUAAAAACCUCAACAACGUCUGAACCAACUCGAAAUUGAGCACCCACAACCCGAACGGAUCUGAGUUCUAAACCAGUAAGAAAUAGUAGAAUAUCCGGAACAAGAAUUUCAAUGGAAACCUAAAACUGAACGUGAAACUCAAGAAAUCCGAACCAGACAAGAAAUCGUUGAGAAUAGGGAAUCAACAAAACCCAAAUCAAAACGUAUUUGCCCCUUUUUAGGAGUAGCCGAAUUUGGUUUUGGUUUUCACCAGAAUUAAUGGAGGAAGCUGUUAUUUUCCAAUGGGUCAUUUUUGGAGAGAGACGAGGGAUUCUGAUGAACCGUUCUCCAGAAAACUCAAACCAGUCAGUUGAGGUAUCUCCGUUCUGCGUUUCACACUUCUCACUCGAUUUCAGCUCACUCCCUCUCUUUGUUGUAUCUUUCUCUCCGCUCCUCACCAUUUUUGAUCUUUGGUAACCCUCGAUCUCUGUCCCUCAUGUCAUUCUACUGCCAACUAUCACUCUAUUUCUCUUCUCUACCUAACGAUCUCCCUCUCAAUAUCUUUACUGUGUGUAUUUCCGAUGGCUGUGCAUGAAUGCGUGUAUUCUAAGGGAAGAGAAAGAAGGGAUGAAUAUGGUGAUUCCCCCUUCUUUGAUCUGUAUAUGUGUGUAUAUAUCCCUGAAGAAUAAAAGAAGAGCCCCCUCUUCUUCUUUUUAAUUCAAGACCCCCAAAAAAUGAAAAUUCCCCCACUUUCUUUCUGGAUGUAAUUGUGUAUGUAUACGUGAGGUUGAGUGAAUUUUUUUUGCUGUGGGGCCCAUGAAUGUGAGGUGUCCUAAGGGAAAUUUCCUAGAAAAUUCCUUCUAGUUAUAUCUCUUUGUGGACAAGAAAAGAAUAGGGGGAGGUGUUGUUUUUUAAUUGGAGGGGUAAGGGUUAGGUGUCUUAUUUUAAUUGAAAGGGUUGUUAGGAUGUUAAAAAGAAUAAAAGUUUGUUAGGGAUUUUGUUGAGAGUUGUUUUUUUUGUAUUUUUUGUGGGAUGUAAUUACAUGGGUGAGGAUAUAUGGUAGGAUAAGGUAAAAAUGGGUAAAAAGUCAAUUUUGGGAGGACAAAAUUAGGUGUCUACAUUCAUAAAGUUCUAUCUCCUCUUUACGGCCAUUUGUGUAUGUUCUGCCUACUAAACUUAGGUAAGCAAAGAGAAACUAUAAACAAAAAGUUUGAACCAACGCCAUUUUACAUAAAUCUUCCAUGCAAAACUUUGCACCCAAAAGAUAAGGUCACAACAAUCUAAUAAAUAUGUCUAAAGCAAGAAGCUACACAAACACAUAAAUUCUUUUAAAAAAAAUGAACAAGAAGAAAGCAAAUGUCAUGGAUUUUUUGGCAAAAAUUUUUUGGACCAUUUCUCGAUUUGUGCGUGUCAUCCUUGCGCAGGGGCCAUGUUAAUCUUCUCUGUAUCGUUCCAAUUUUAUAGCAUGUACCCAAAAGGAGAAACAUGCUCAUUACUAUUUUGCAUUAUAAACAAGAAAAACUUCUUUCUGCAAAUGAUGUGGGAGAAGUAACAGGUUGGGCUUUCUACCUAUAUGGACCUGGACUCCUUUUUCCUUGUUUCUUCGUCCCAUCUAAACAAGCCCUGCUGCGCCUGGAGUUAUAAAUUUGACAUACGAGACUAAAAUUGUAAAGAUUUGACUAACUUUUGACGUUGUUUUUACCGAAGCAUGGCCUUAUUAAGGCCAAACAUUAGACAUUUUAUACUGUGGCAUUGCCAUGACCAAGCCUGAAAUAUUUUUUUAGAACUUUAACUUUGGAUCGGCAGACUCUAACUUGACACAUAUAAUAGCUGGUGAAAAAUUAAAUCAAUAUGCAUAACCAUAUAUACAAGUGUUGGAGCUAGAGUAUACAGGUUCAGCCAAACUAAUAAACUUUGGUCCAAAUUUUAUACUAUAUUUGUCUUAAAAAUUCAUUGAUAUACACAAAUUUUUACUGAAAAACCAAUUACUUUGAGAAAAUUAGAAUCGUGAAUCCAUAAAUUUUCAAUUCUCUUAUGUAGCCAUUAUACAUAAAUUUGAGGAGUCCAAAGCAUAUGCACGAUAACUUGCUCGUGCUCUGCCUAAACUUAGGUAAGCAAACAAAAAUUAUAAGCAGAAAGUUUGACCCAAUGGCAUUUAACGUAAAGCUUCCAAGACAAAAAUAUCCACUUCAGAAGCGGAAAUUUCACAACAAUCUAAGCUGAUUCCAGGAAAAAAAUAAAAGGAUUUUGGGAGGAAAAAAUUUGGACCAUUUUUUGAUCUGUGCGUGUCAUCCCUGCUCAGGGGCCAUGCUAAUCUUCUCUGUAUCAUUCCAUUUUUAACGAAUAUCCCCGAAGGGACAAGCGUGCCUACUGCUAUUGAGCUUUAUAAAGAGAGCAAAACUUCUUUUUGCCAAUGAUGUGGCAAAAAUAACAGUUUGGGGUUUUCACAGGCGCAAACCUGAACUCCUUUUUUUGCUUGUUUCUUCGUCCCAUCUGAACAAGCCCGUCUAUGCCUGGAGUUAUAGCUAUAAUGGGCUGGCCUUCUUUAUUUAAUUUGAUUUGCAAUAUGAGAAGUGGUAUAGCCUUGCUCUCUCAUUUGUCUCCUUUCGGAAACUGCAUUUUAGCUACAGUUUUUUGCUUUUGCUUUUACGUUCAUUCAUGCAUACAGAGCCCAACUGAUCCUAGAGUCUAGAUUUGACCCCAAAGAACACUAGUCAGGUCCAUAUUCAACUUGUAAAGAAAUGAAUCUGGAACUUAAUUCAAAUCUAAAAGCUAGCUCAAAAGAUAUAAAAUUGCCUAAGGUAUAUUUUAAGAGGCCAUACAUCUCUUGAAUGGAAGAUGUGGAACGGUUUUCACCCCUUCUCACGUUCAGUACUAAAUAUUUAGCGCAUCCACAAUUUUAAUAUGGGCCCCAACAUCGUAAACAAGAAUUCACAUGAGUCCUAUUCUUAUACCAUGUAGAGAAAUAAACUUAAACCUAACUCAAACCCGAAAGCUAUAUCAAGAAGUGAGAAUUGUCAAGUCAUAAUAAAAGAGACUACUUAUUCCUUAACGAACUAUAUGAGACAUUUCACAAACUUGUAUCCAUUGGGGUCGUUUCAUUAAUGGGAUAUGAAAGACGAAUAUUCCGUGGGACUAACUAUUUCACCCUUUUAAGAAGUUACAAAAUGAUCGCGAAAUUAUUUAUCCUGAAAUAUUGUCCUUAUAGUAGCCAAUUUUUCUUGGUCUUUCUCCAUAGUCCACAUAAAAAGAGCUUUUAAGAAGUUACCUACUAGCAGUCACUAAUUUUGAAAUGCUGAAUAAGAAAUUGAUUGAUAUACUUGUCUAGUAGCACGAAGAUGGGGUUGAGGGUGCAGCAUUUAUUCAAUCUGGUAAGUCAUAAUAAAAGCAAUUUAUAAUACUAUUGAUGUCCACUGCUCAUUUCUCAUUUUCUAAAUUUGCCAUGCCUCUUAUCUCUAAUUUCUCAGUCUAUCCAAGCGAAGCCCGUGACAGAAGGUCCAGGUAUGAAUGCUACUAAAUGGCCUUGUCCAUUUUACAUUGGUUGUUCAAUGCAAAUUGAGUAGUCCUUGCAUAUGCACAAUAACUUGUUUAAUGGAUUCAUCUCCUCUUUCCCACUUGUGUAUGUUCUGCCUAAACUUACUUAAGCAAGACAAACUGUAAAUAGAAAGUUAAUAAUAUUUGACCUAAUGCCACUUGACAUGAAUCUUCCAAGAUAAAUUUGCACACUAAAAAUAUAAGGUCUAUACAAUUUGUGUAAUGCACUAGAGGAGAAGAAAUUUCACUACAAUCUAAUCAAUAUGUGUAAAGCCAUAAGCUUUUUAACAUACAUAGAAAAUGAGUGGAAAAUCAAAACACAACCACACGAAGAAAUUGGGAAAAGUUAGGAAAAAAAUUUGGACCAUUUCUCAAUUUGUGCGUGUCAUCCUUGCGCAGGGGCCAUGCUAAUCUUCUCGCAUGCCUGCUGCUGUUGUAAUUUAUGAGAGAGCAAAACUUCUUUCUGCAAACGAUGUGGGAGAAAUAACAAGUUAGGCUUUUUUCUUUGUCCCAUCUGAAUAAGCCCAACUAUGCCCACAACGGGCUCUCUCGUUUGUUUCAAGCAUUUUUAGCUAACAUUUUUUUUUGUGUAAACAACAUAAAUCCCCUAACUUGGAUGGUGGUUUGCCAUGGUUGCAUAAUGUACGGUACCAUACGGUAUGGUAUUGUACUGUACAGUAUAAUACAAUACCAUGUUUGGAUAGACUGUAUCGUUCAUUACUGGUUAAAAAUAAUUUUAUUGUUUGGUUUGACAGUAUGGUACUGCAUCGUAACUGAUAAGUUUACUCAAAUAUCUUUAAUGAUUAUAAAUAUUAAAUUUAUUAGUAAUUAUUAGUAAAAUAAUUUUCUCCCUACUAAUUUGUCAUAAAUUAUGUCAUGUAGAUAUAUUAAGUUGUUAGAUUCAUGUAAAUUCUAACAAAAUCAAUAAAGAAGAAGAUCAAAAUAACUAUAAUCAGAUUCAUUUUUUAUAGUAACAAAUUUUAUCUCUUUUUGGUGUUUUGAGACGUGAUACCAACGACAAAUAUAAAGUUUGAAUGCAUCCCUUGUGUAUGCUAUGUGUAUGUUUGGUGUUGAAUUUUAAAAAAUAUUUUCUAGAAAAAUAUAUUCGUAAAGCUUGGUCUAAAUUUUCUACACGUAUUCGCUUUCGUAAAAUUGGUCAGUUCUCCUUAAUUCAAUUUUCGGGAAAAUGAGAUCUUUUGCUUUCUUACAAAAUGAAUAGAAGAAAAUAGCUUAUUCAAAUUAAACAUCGUUUAAUAGCUGAAUUUUUCCAAUUUCAAUAGAUCUUUUAUUGGGAAAAUAGAGUCGGUUGAUGUGAUAGUUGUUACGUAUCGUUUCAUAAAUUAUUAUGUUUUAUUGUAUUGUAGUGUGCAUUGUUCUAAUGAGUAUAACAUUUGAAGAUUGUACUAUCAUUUUUCGGUUGUUACAUAAUGUUACAUAUUAAUUAAUAAUUUAAAAGAUAAACCUACAUAAUUACGCAUGCAUAAUUUUCUAUCGAAGGGGAUUCAAUGCCGUUGGGUGUGCGAACAAAAGUCUCAUGUUAAUAGCUGAAAGGAUUGGAAGUUACAUAUAUCGUGUAGGAUCUUUUAAUGGUGCGAGAUCUUUUGAGGAAAACCGUGCGGGCUUGACCCAUAACUGAUAAUAUCACACCAUUUAAAAGUGUCUUUGGGUUGAUUUAGCCAACAUAGAUGAUACACUCUUAUCGUCAGAGUUUAAUCAUUCCAUUCUCUGUUCUACAUAGAUUUCCUCAUAAUUUAUACAUGUAUUAGUCAUACGAGUCUCUAAAUUGCAAAUCGAAUGUUGCAUUAGUUUUACACAUAAUCCUAACUAACUACCAAACAUGGUAUUAUGUAUUACUUAUGCAACAUCUUAUUAUACACAUGGAGUAUUAUUUUUAUGUAUUACUUAUGCAACAUCUUAUUAUACACAUGGAGUAUUAUUUUUCUUAACCAACUACAUACCAAACGACCUUUAAUUUGUACUACUAUAUACUAAUGAUGAGUACUACUUUCAAACUCAAUUUUACUAUUCUGAUUCUUUUUUUCUUUUUGGAAUAAAUUCAAUAUAUAAUCACAAUAAUGCUCACUUUUGAAACUUUUAUUUAUAGGUCUUGUAAAGCUGCGUCGUGAUGUGAGGAAAUGCGAAUACGAUGAUGUUCAUAUUUUGUGGGAUAUACUAAAAAAAAAUGAAACAGUCGAUGCUGCCAAAUCUCAUUCUGGACGCAAGAAAGUUCGAUUUUGGGAUAUAAUUGAUUGGGCUAAACGUGCCCCCUUCAUUUGUCGUAGCGUGUGAUCAUAAAUUUUUAUUGUAUUUUUUUUGGUUUGCAUAUCUCAAAUAUAUAUAUAUAUAUAUAUAUAUUCGUGUUUUUUUACCAUAUGAAUGAUCGUGAACUCUUUCCUUCCUUUAAUUUUAGUACUUGAUUGGAAUGGGACUAUUGAUCAUGUGGACUACCAGAGUUGGUUCAAAACUUUUAGUGAUAAUUUCAAAUGUUGCUUGACUGAAUAUUAGAGUACGUAUAAUUUCUUGGAGAUGGAUAUGAUGUUUUACUUAGAUAUUUUCAGUAUUUCUUGGUGUGAAAUAAGUUAGUUUUCGGUAUAUACGACUUUGUGACCUUCUGAAUUUGUAGCCAGUGGCGGAGACAGGAUUUUCACAAAGAGGUUUUAGAAAUAACUUACAAACAAAUCAAAAGGGGUUCAACAUCCACUAUAAUAAUUUUAACCGAAUAGUAUAAUUUUUCACCGAAGGAGGUUUGGAUGACCCCUUGCCGAAGGGUAGCUCCGCCCCUGCUUGUAGGCUGUAGCAUUUGCAAAAUAUAACUAUACAAGGGGUGGAGUUAGAGUAUAAAAUAUGGGUUCGAAUGAACUAAUACGCUUUGGUUUAUUGAUAUACACAAAAUUUUAAUUUAAAAUCCAAUUAUUUAAAAAUUAGAAUCUCGAAUUCAUAAAGUUCUAUCUCCUCUUUAUGGCCAUUUGUGUAUGUUCUGCCUACUAAACUUAGGUAAGCAAAGAGAAACUAUAAACAGAAAGUUUGAACCAACGCCAUUUUACAUAAAUCUUCCAUGCAAAAAUUUACACCCAAAAGAUAAGGUCACAACAAUCUAAUAAAUAUGUCUAAAUCAAGAAGCUACACACACAUAAAUUCUUUGAAAAAAAAAUGAACAAGAAGAAAGCAAAUGCUAUGGAUUAUGUGGCGAAAAAAAUUUGGACCAUUUCUCGAUUUGUGCGUGUCAUUCUUGCGCAGGGAUCAUGCUAAUAUUCUCUGUAUCGUUCCAAUUUUAUCGGAUGUCCCCAAAGGGAGAAACAUGCUCAUUACUGUUGUGCAUUAUAAACAAGCAAAACUUCUUUCUGCAAACGAUGUGGGAGAAGUAACAGGUUGGGCUUUCUACCUAUAUGGACCUGGACUCCUUUUUCCUUGUUUCUUCGUCCCAUCUAAACAAGCCCUGCUGCGCCUAGAGUUAUAAAUUUGACAUACGAGACUAAAAUUGUAAAGAUUUGACUAAAUUUUGACGUUGUUUUGCUUGAAGCAUGGCUUUAUUAAGGCCAAACAUUAGACAUUUUAUACUGUGGCAUUGCUAUGUGUAGACACGUAAUUUUGUCCCUUCCCGAUAGCAUUUUUUACCCAUUUUUACCUUAUCCUACCGUAUACCCUCACCCAUGUAAUUACAUCCCACAAAAAUACAAAAAAAAAUAUAACUUUCAAAAAAAUCCCUAACAAACUUUUAUUCUUUUUAACAUCCUAACAACCCUUUCAAUGAAAAGAAGACACAUCACCCAUACCCCUACCCCACCAUCCCAUAUCCACGUGACCCCCCCUCUUAUUUUCUUGGCCACAAAGGAAAAUAUACAUGGAGAAAACUUCCAAGAAACAACAACAAUAACUAGGAGGGACCACAAUUGGGAAUCCAAGGUAAAGAACAGAUAUAUACAUAUGCACAUAUCACAAAUGAGACACUCUUCAUUUUUUCCAUUCCAUCAUCAUCAAUAUAUAAAUGCACAUACUCCAUUUUGGGGGAUAUAUACACACUUAUACACAAAACAUCGAAAAAAAAAAGAAUUCUUCCAUUUCCAUUCCAUAGAUAUACUUAGCCACACAGCAACCAACACACAAUACACCAUUAACCUCACCAUUAACGGACAACUUCCUGACCAUUCCAAUAGCUCACAUACUCCUUGAUGGCUCCAUUUUCCCAUUCUUUUACUCUUAGCAGAACACACACCCACAAAUAACAUAUACAUAAUUACAUACUUCACUGAAGACUCACACUCACAACGCAUGAAAAAAAAAGAAGAAUUCACUUUCUUCUCUAACAUCUACUCACAGACACCCUCACUAAUAUUUUUCAUUCACCAUAAUUCACCCAUAUACGAUCCCUCAUCCUCACCAUAGCAGAUCUUACUCACGAGAAACCACCAUUAAUGCACACACUACACAGAUAUAGACCACAAAGAAUAACAAUACAGUGAGAUGGCGAGAAGAGAGUAGAUCAAGAGAGAGCGGCGAAGAGAGAGAGAGAGUAGAGUACAGUAAGGGUAAAUUGAGAGGAUAAAGAGAGUUUGAACAAGGUUUGGUCAGUUUCUGGAUAUUCUCUGGCGAAAUCUCACUAGAAGUGACCCGUGUUUGUCGUUGCUUGGUCUAAGCUUGCCGGAUUUGGCCUCGAUCUCACCGAAACUGGUUUCUCUUUCAUCGUCUGAUUGUUCCCAUCAUGAAAUCGCCAAAAACUCUUUGUUUUCCUUUGAUUUUUGGGGUGAAUUCGGUCGAGAUGUGUUAGGGGGUCAUCGGAAUUGGUUUUCGUUCAUCAAUCGGAUUGGUUUAAGCCCCCCCAAAACAUCGAAACUAGCAUUGGUUCUAGGGAUUUCUACAUGGGUUGGCUCCUUUGGAAUUUAGUAUGGGUACCUCUCGUUUCUUUACAAGACUGACCCCAUUUGGUUUGAUAUUUCUUCUUCAUUUCUGUUCGAAAAUUGGGUUUUCAAUCGGACUACAAGUUCGAAGUGGAUAUUGAGUUGGGGUUGCCAUUUGAGGUUCAAUCGGAAAAUUUUGAAUCCGGCUCCAUUUUCUAACCACAUAAUCCGACAUAUAAAAGUCCAUUUAAGGUCUAACUCUAUCUCUUCUAAUUUUACUUUACUAUACGUGUUUGAUUCGCCUGAUGUGUGGUUGAAUUUUGGUGACAUUAAUUUGCUGUUUGAUUUCGUUGAAUAGAUGGUUGUGGAUUGUUGAGAUAACUAUCUUGAAUCGUUGGAAUUUGGUAUAAAAAUGGAAUAAGUGGGGUGAGAAUUAAAAACUUGAUAUAAUUAGUGAAUUUUGAUUAGUUUGAUUCAUUUGUUGUUUGACUUGAAAUAAACGUUAAUUGAAUUUGGUAGUAUCAAGAUACUCCGAUUGAAAUAGGUAAGACGUAGGUCGGGUAGGCAAAAUCUAGAGAUAGUGGGUUUAUUGAAUGUUUGAAAUUUGAUUGAAUGGUUUGAUUUUAUCACUUUUGAAUCAAUUGUAUCAUUUGGCCGGGGAAUGCCCCGAAGUAUCUGUAUAUAUUUAUUCACCGGGGAAUGUCCUGAGAUAUCAUGUACCUGGAGGACGUUCAUGAUGAAGGCCCGAGGCGUCGGGUAGAGCAUUAGUCUAGAAUUAAUUUAGAGUAGGAUUUAUUUUUACACAUUUUUUAUUUUUGGACUGUAUAAUUGGACUGGACACUAAAUUUUGGAUUGUUUUAUCUUGUUUGCUUGAUUGAUUGUUUUGCAUGUUUUGUGUGGUUUAUAUAUUCAUAAUGUCAAAUUAGCCUAUACGCUCCGCCAAGCGACCGUGGUCAAACCACGGGAUCGAGGGGUGNNNNNNNNNNNNNNNNNNNNNNNNNNNNNNNNNNCGGAAUCUCUAUUCGCAAACCAGUUUUAAAGAGUCAAAUCAUUUUGAAAAGAAUUUUCCAAAGGUGACUUGGCACACCGGAUUAUACCAAGUGGCGACUCUGAAUUUAAUUAUAAAAAAUACUUUUCGGAAUAGAAAUUUCAUUUUUUGUCACUUAAUUAUAAAACCCUUUCGAACUUAAAAAUUAAUCUUUUGGAUGUUGAAAAAGGGGUGUGACAGCUCUGGCGACUCUGCUGGGGAACUAUUUCAGAAUCCGAGCUUUUUUUGGAGUCGUAUCGGCUUUGUUUGGCAUUACGAGUGUAUAAGCAUUAUUUGUGAUUUUUUUUUUUGUGUUUUCACUUUUGUGUGUUUUUGUUCUCUUUGUUUACAGUAUUUAUCCUAUGUGUUACCACUUUUAUAUCUGACAUUAUGUGCAUAACCCGAGUCAUUCUUUCCGCAACGAGUCUCGGAGCGCACGUUGUGCGCACGAACUCUAGUUGAGUCACCUUAUUUUAGGGGGGAGCCGUUGGAUGUAUGGAGUAGGUGGAAAGCAAAGCAGCCACUAUCGACCAUAUGCUUCCCCGAACGGCCUUGUUAGUAAACCACAACGUAGGUCAGCCUUUAGGUCAUUCUUAUGUACAUCAUAUUGAGACCUAGAGGGACCCACACGUCCCUUUGUAGGAAACUCACCUCUAAAGCAUCCCUACGUGCUAAAUAUGGCAUCUCUGAGGGUAAUGUGGUCAUUUGAUGGACCGAUUUGGGGAAAACAUGUGUUAGAAGUAAAGUGCGUAGACAAGAAAGUGUUAGAAAAAAAAGGGUGAAUAAAAAAAAAAGAGUUUCGUAGUUUAUUUUUAGAGUUCUUUAUGACUUUUGUUUUUCACAAUUCAAAAAGAUUUUUUACCUUCGCACUCAUUUUCUUAAAGAAUUCAAAAAGAUCUUCCUUUACUCUUUUACCAUGCAUUCAUAAUUCAAAAAUUCCAAAAAAGAUUUUUUUUUAUAGGAGCUUUUAUAAAAGAAAAAUGAAAAAAAGUUGGUAGAAGUUUUGUAUAUUUCUUAUAACAAAAAUGCCAAAAAGAUUUUUCUUUCGGAGUUGUUGGUGUCAGUUUUAUGUGAAGUCUCAAAUUGAAAAUCUCAAAAAGAUUUUAUUCGUCUGUCUUUGGUUGUGUCUCUUAAGUUAGGGUCAAUGAAUCCUUAAUUGUCCAAAUUGGAUGAACUAUGCACCCCUGAUUCUCCUCUUUCGGGAUGUGAGAUACGUAGGCAACCUAUUGUUGGUUCGGGGAUCUUAUUUAAAAAAAAACUAAAAAAGAUUUUUUUUCACUCUUCAUUUAGAGUAGGUGUUUCAUACAUGUAUUGAAAAUAAAAAUACAAAGAAAAAAAAAGAUUUUUCUCAAUAGUCGUGGGUUUCAUUUUUGGUUGAUCUUAUUUCAAAAAUUCAAAAAAGAUUUUCUUCACUCUUCAUUUAGAGUGGGUGUUUCAUAUACAUCUUUAAAAGAAAACUACAAAAAGAUUUUUCUUUAAUAGGUUCAAGUUCCAUUUUCAUAUGAAAUUUAAAACUGAAAACCUAAAAAGAUUUUCUUUGGUAAUCAUAGAUUUCACUUUGUAUAGGGAUGUUAAAACUGAAAAAUUCAAAAACAUUUUCGUCAAUUCUUUUGACAAAUUAUUAUUUUCUUUUCUUCUUAAUGUUUNNNNNNNNNNNNNNNNNNNNNNNNNNNNNNNNNNNNNNNNNNNNNNNNNNNNNNNNNNNNNNNNNNNNNNNNNNNNNNNNNNNNNNNNNNNNNNNNNNNNNNNNNNNNNNNNNNCAAGGAAGGGUUAGUUGUGUCCAACAAGUAUAUAGAGAGUGACAUCAUGGAUGAAACAAAGAGUCAGGAAAUUGAGAGUUUUAAAGGAAGAAAUUUGAGACUGAGACAACAAAUGAUGGGAAUGUACCGAGCUUGGGCCAGUCGGCUGCCUCCACCUCCGUUCCCCACUUUUGACCCUGUAAAUACCUUGAGUCUUCUACCAAAAUUGCAAAGUCAGUUUCCUACUGUUGUUGAUGCAGCACAGCAUGACUCAGAAUCCAUUCCACAUCAAAUGCACCUCAACACUUCCACUACUCUUUCUUUAUCUCCUCAGUAUAAGUCUACCACAUUCACAGCACCACAUAUCGUCUGUGCUUUUGUUUCUCAACCUUCUACUAAGGCUUCCACUUUGUCUAUCAAUCCAACGAUUGUGCUUCCCCAGUCCACUAGUGACUCCAUGUUCAAUACUGUUGAUGAUCAUUGGUAUACUCUUGAGCCUACAGUUAAGUUAAGUGAACCGCCAAAAUUUCUUACUAAGAAGCUUAGCAUGACAAAAGAGCCAUAGAAAAUGGUUGGGAAAGUGAAGAGUGUAGAAAAUGAUAUGAAAAAUUCCCCUGGACUUAUGGUCUAUGAAUAUGUUUCAUAUAAAAGCUGGGGCAUGUCUUCAAGUGUUAACCUUCCUCCCAUCUUUGAGACAUCAAAAUUUGGGGAGCCUGAUAGACAGAAGGAUUCUGUGAAACAUUCGGGACGACAUUGCAAUCAACCAAGGGAAAUUGAAGGAAAGAAGAAGGAAAACGCACCUAUUGUCAUGACAGGGCCAAAGCAGAGUUUGAGAGGAACAGAAAGAAAAUCAGCUCCAAAAGUUGUUUGUCCUACCCCACUUCAAGUGUCGUUUAGGCCAGUGCCAUCUUUUCUUUCUAACCUUAUCCAAAAGCUAAGUUACAACCAAAGAAAGACCUUUAUAUCAAUCUUUGAGGAUGUUAAGGCGGAUCAUGCAAGGGAUAUGAUGAUGCAUUUGGGAACUAUUUGUCUUCCUCAGCAUAGGGAAUCAAGAGAGAAAUAAAAAUGAGAGAGUCUUAUUGGUGAAGACCCUUACGGGCACCAUAAGACGAUGGAAAGUUGAGAGAAAUAAAAAUGAGAGAGUCUUAUUGGUGAAAACCCUCACGGGCACCAUAAGGCGAUAGUGAGUCGAGAGAAAAUGAAAGAAGCUUGUUGACGAAAACCCUUCAAGGUGCCACUAGCCGAAUGGGGAAACUCAGUUUCAAGGCCAUUAACUCAACAACAAUGGGUAGAAAGUUUGGAUGAAAAUAUCAAGCUGCUUAAUCCAAAAUGCAGGGCAUAAUCAUUAGUGUUGACUGUCAUUUUUAGAUGAAUUUUUCGUUUCUUUUUUUUAAAAGGGGACAUUCAUUGUCUUUUCUUUCUUCUCUUUAUUUCAAUUUUAUCUUUCUUAAGUCAGUUACUAAAACAAAAAUUGUCAUUCUUUUUUUUUGUUUCUUGUCUUUGAGUCAAGUCCAUAUCAAAACAAGUGCGAAAAGAUUUCAAAACUGGCUACGAGCUUCUUUAAUUGCACAAAGAAAGACAAAAGCUAGCACAUGAAAGAGACAUGAUUGUAAGCCCAAAAAAGGCAUGUAGGAAGUUUUGUCAACAGAGAAGUCGGGGAACUCAUGGAAAUACCAAGAUUUAAAGGGUUUAUUUAAGAAACACGACAAAGCAGAAAUACUGUGUUUGUUUCAGAGUCACUCUUAAUAAGCUGAGUUUGAGUCAAUGAUACAACAAGUCAAUGACAUAUGCUAAUGGUUGGGGGCAGGAGCAGUUACCUCAAAAGCCAAAGCCACAAACUAGCCACCAUGUUUUUAAACUCACAAGUGUUCUUUGUAUGUAAUAGGAAUACAUGUUGCAUUUAGAUCAAGGAUUUCAGAGCCUAAACAUUAAAGACCGUAAUUUCUCACCUCAACAAAUGCAAGAGGAAAGGUUGCUGCACAAGUUUGAUAAUCAAAACCAUGGUAUAACUCAUAAUUCAAGAUCUCUAAGAGACGCACUUCCUUGUUUUGAUAAUUCAAACAACAUUGAUAAGGAAACACACUUUGUUGAUUGGGAAUAAAAAUGGAAUAAGUGGGGCGAGAAUUGAAAACUUGAUAUAAUUAGUGAAUUUUGAUUAGUUUGAUUCAUUGGUUGUUUGACUUGAAAUAAAUGUUAAUUGAAUUUGUUAGUAUCAAGAUACGCUGAUUGGAAUAGGCAAGACGUAGAUCGGGUAGGCAAAAUCUAGAGAUUGUGGGUUGAUUGAAUGAAAUUUGAUUGAAUACUUUGAUUUUAUCACUUUUGAAUCAAUUGUAUAAUUUGGACAGAGAAUGCCCGAAGUAUCUGUAUAUAUUUAUUCACCGGGGAAUGCCCCGAGGUAUCAUGUACCCGGAGGACGUUCGUGAUGAAGGCCCGAGGCGUCAGGUAGAGCAUUAGUCUAGAAUUAAUUUAGAGUAGGAUUUAUUUUUGCACAUUUUUUAUUUUUGGACUGUAUAAUUGAACUGGACACUAAAUUUUGGAUUGUUUUAUCUUGUUUGCUUGACUGAUUGUUUUGCAUGUUUUGUGUGGUUUAAAUAUUCAUAAUGUCAAAUUAGCCUAUACGCUCCGCCAAGUGACCGUGGUCAAACCACGGGAUCGAGGGGUGCCUAACACCUUCCCCUCGGUCAACAGAAUUCCUUAGCUGGAAUUUCUGUUCGCAAACUAGUUUUAAAGAGUCAAAUCAUUUCGAAAAGAAUUUUUCAAAGGAACUUGGCACACCGGAUUAUGCCAAGUGGCGACUCUGAAUUUAAUUAUAAAAAUUCUUUUCGGAACAGAAUUUUCAUUUUUUGUCACUUAAUAAUCCCUUUUGAACUUAAAAAUUAAUCUUUUGGAUGUUAAAAAAGGGGUGUGACACCAUGACUAAGCCUGAAAUAUUUUUUUCAAACUUUAUCUUUGGAUCGGCAGACUCUAACUUGAGACAUAUAAUAGCUGGUCAAGAAUCAAAUCAAUACGCAUAACCAUAUAUACAAGUGUUGGCGCUAGAGUAUACAGGUUCAGCCAAACUAAUAAGCUUUGGUCCAAAUUUUAUACUGUAUUUGUCUUAAAAAUUCAUUGAUAUACACAAAUUUUUAUUGAAAACCCAAUUACUUUGAGAAAAUUAGAAUCGUGAAUCCAUAAACUUUCAAUUCUGUUAUGUAGCCAUUAUACAUAGAUUGUUCAGUGCAAUUUGAGGAGUCCAAAUCCUAUGCACGAUAACUUACUUGUGCUCUGCCUAAACUUAGGUAAGCAAACAAAAAUUAUAAGCAGAAAGUUUGACCCAAUGGAAUUUAACGUAAAGCUUCCAAGACAAAAAUAUCCACUUCAGAAGCGGAAAUUUCACAACAAUCUAAGCUGAUUCCAGGAAAAAAAUAAAAGGAUUUUAGGAGGAAAAAAUUUGGACCAUUUUUUGAUCUGUGCGUGUCAUCCCUGCUCAGGGGCCAUGCUAAUCUUCUCUGUAUCAUUCCAUUUUUAUCGGAUGUCCCCAAAGGGACAAGCCUGCCUGCUGCUGUUGAGCUUUAUAAAAGAGCAAAACUUCUUUCUGCAAAUGAUGUGGCAGAAAUAACAGUUUGGGGUUUUCACAGGCGCAAACCUGGACUCCUUUGUUUGCUUGUUUCUUCGUCCCAAUAUAAACAAGCCCAUCUGUGCAUGGAUUUAUAGCUAUAAUGGGCUGGCCUUCUUUAUUUAAUUUGAUUUGCAAUAUGAGAAGUGGUAUAGCCUUGCUCUCUCAUUUGUCUCCUUUUGGAAACUGCAUUUUAGCUACAGUUUUUUGAUUUUUCUUUUAUGCUCAUUCAUGCAUAUAGAGCCCAACUGAUCCUAGAGUCUAGAUUUGACCCCAAAGAACACUAGUCAGGUCCAUAUUCAACUUGUAAAGAAAUGAAUCUGGAAGUUAAUUCAAAUCUAAAAGCUAGCUCAAAAGAUAUAAAAUUGCCUAAGGUAUAUUUUAAGAGACCAUACAUCUCUUGAAGGGUAGAUGUGGAACGCUUUUCACCCCUUGUCACGUUCAAGACUAAACAUCUAGAGCAUCCACAAUUUUAAUAUGGGCCCCAACAUCGUAAACAAGAAUUGACACGAGUCCUAUUCUUAUACCAUGUAGAGAAAUAAACUUAAGACUACCUCAAACCCAAAAGCUAUAUCAAGAAGUGAGAAUUGUCAAGUCAUAUUAAAAGAGACUACUUAUUCCUUAACAAGCUAUAUGAGACGUUUCACAAACUUGUACCCAUUGAGGUCGUUUCAUUAAUGGGAUAUGAAAGACGAAUAUUCCGUGGGACUCACUAUUUCACCUUUUUAAGAAGUUACAAAAUGAUCCCGAAAUAUUGUCCUUAUAGUAGCCCAUUCUACUUGGUCUUUCUCCAUAGUCCACAUAAAAGGAGCUUUUCAAGAAGUUACCUACUAGCAGUCACUAAUUUUGAAAGGCUAAACAAGAAAUUGAUUGAUAUGCCUGUCUGGUAGCACGAAGAUGGGGUUGAGGGUGCAAUAUUUAUUCAAUCUGGUAAGUCAUAAUAAAAGCAAUUUAUAAUACUAUUGAUUUCCACUGCUCAUUUCUCGUUUUCUCAAUUUGCCAUGCCUCUUAUCUCUAAUUUCUCAGUCUAUCCAGGAGAAGCCCGUGACAGAAGGUCCAGGUAUGAAUGCUACUAUGAGUUAAUUUGGACGAAUUAAGAUGAGUUAAGCUAUAAACGAACAGGUUUAAUUUUGGCUGAAAUAACCUAUUCAACUCACUUGGCCUUGUCCAUUUUACAUUGGUUGUUCAAUGCAAAUUGAGUAGUCCUUGAAUAUGCACAAGAACUUGCUUAAUGUAUUCAUCUCCUUUUUCCCAUUUGUGUGUGUUCUGCCUAAACUUACGUAAGCAAGACAAACUGUAAACAGAAAGUUAAUUAUAUUUGACCUAAUGCCACUUGACAUGAAUCUUCUAAGACAAAUUUGCACACUAAAAACAUAAGGUCUACACAAUUUGUGUAAUGCACUAGAGGAGAAGAAAUUUCACUACAAUCUAAUCAAUAUGUGUAAAGCCAGAAGCUUUUUAACAUACAUAGAAAACGAGUGGAAAAGCAAAACACAACCACAUGAAGAAACUGGAAAAAGUUAGGAAAAAAAUUUGGACCAUUUCUCGAUUUGUGCGUGUCAUCCUUGCGCAGGGGCCAUGCUAAUCUUCUCACAUGCCUGCUGCUAUUGUACUUUAUAAAGAGAGCAAAACUUCUUUCUGCAAACGAUGUGGGAGAAAUAACAAGUUAGGCUUGUUUCUUUGUCCCAUCUGAAUAAGCCCAGCUAUGCCCACAAUGGGCUCUCUCGUUUGUUUCAAGCAUUUUUAGCUAACAUUUUUUUUUUGUGUAAACAACAUAAAUCCCCUAACUUGGAUGGUGGUUCGCCAUGGUUUCAUAAUGUACGGUACUAUACGGUAUGGUAUUGUAAUGUACAGUAUAAUACAAUAUCAUGUUUGGAUAGACUGUAUCGUUCACUACUGCUUAAUAAUAAUUUUAUUGUUUGGUUUGACAGUAUGGUACUGCAUCGUAACUGAUAAGUUUACUAAAAUAUCUUUAAUGAUCAUAAAUAUUAAAUUUAUCAGUAAUUAUUAGUAAAAUAAUUUUCUUUCUACUAAUUUGUCAUAAAUUAUGUCAUGUAGGUAUAUUAAGUUGUUAGAUUCACGUAAAUUCUAACAAAGUCAAUAAAGAAGAAGAUCAAAAUAACUAUAACCAGAUUCAUUUUUUAUAGUAACAAAUUUUAUCUCUUUUUGGUGUUUUUAGACGUGAUACAACCGACAAAUAUAAAGUUUGAAUGCAUCCCUUGUGUAUGCUAUGUGUAUGUUCGGUGUUGAAUUUUAAAAAAUAUUUUCUAGAAAAAUAUAUUCGUAAAACUUGGUCUAAAUUUUCUACACAUAUUCGCUUUCGUAAAAUUGGUCAGUUCUCCUUAAUUCAAUUUUCGGGAAAAUGAGAUCUUUUGCUUUCUUACAAAAUGAAUAGAAGAAAAUAGCUUAUUCAAAUUAAACAUCGUUUAAUAGCUGAAUUUUUCCAAUUUCAAUAGAUCUUUUAUUGGGAAAAUAGAGUCGGUUGAUGUGAUAGUUGUUACGUAUCGUUUCAUAAAUUAUUAUAUUUUAUUGUAUUGUAGUGUGCAUUGUUCUAAUGAGUAUAACAUUUGAAGAUUGUACUAUCAUUUUUCGGUUGUUACAUAAUUUUACAUAUUAAUUAAUAAUUUAAAAGAUAAACCUACAUAAUUACGCAUGCAUAAUUUUCUAUCGAAGGGGAUUUAAUGCCCCCUCGCCCAGCUCUUCCCAGGUCCGAUUUGAUUACUUUUGUGGACCAAAACAAGUGAAAGCUCAUUUUGAUAAUGGAAGACCUUGAAUACAAGAUAUUUGUUUUCUCUGAUAUUUAUACUAGCUUUAUAGAUUGUUGGGUGUGCGAACAAAAGUCUCAUGUUAGUAGCUGAAAGGAUUGGAAGCUACAUAUAUCGUUUAGGGUCUUUUAAUGGUGGGAGAUCUUUUGAGGAAAACCGUGCGGGCUUGACCUAUAACUGAUAAUAUCAUACCAUUUAAAAGUGUCUUUGGGCUGAUUUAGCCAACAUAGAUGAUACACUCUUAUCGUCAAAGUUUAAUCAUUCCAUCCUUUGUUCUACAUAAAAUUAUACAUAGAUUUCCUCAUAAUUUAUACAUGUAUUAGUCAUACGAGUCUCUAAAUUGAAAAUCGAAUGUUGCAUUAGUUUUAUACAUAAUCCUAACUAACUACCAAACAUGCUAUUAUGUAUUACUUAUGCAACAUCUUAUUAUACACAUAGAGUAUUAUUUUUCUUAACCAACUAUAUACCAAACGACCUUUAAUUUGUACUACUAUAUACUAAUGAUGAGUACUACUUUCAAACUCAAUUUUACUAUUCUGAUUCUUUUUUUCUUUUUGGAAUAAAUUCAAUAUAUAAUCACAAUAAUGCUCACUUUUGAAACUUCUAUUUAUAGGUCUUGUAAAGCUGCGUCGUGAUGUGAGGAAAUGCGAAUACGAUGAUGUUCAUAUUUUGUGGGAUAUGCUCAAAAAAAAUGAAAUAGUCGAUGCUGCCAAAUCUCAUUCUGGAUGCAAGAAAGUUCGAUUUUGGGAUAUAAUUGAUUGGGCUAAACGUGCCCCCUUCAUUUGUCGUAGCGUGUGAGCGUAAAUUUUUAUUGUAUUUUUUUUGGUUGCAUAUCUCAAAUAUAUAUAUAUAUAUAUAUAUAUUCAUGUUUUUUUACCAUAUGAAUGAUCGUGAACUCUUUCCUUCCUUUAAUUUUAGUACUUGAUUGGAAUGGGACUAUUGAUCAUGUGGACUACCAGAGUUGGUUCAAAACUUUUAGUGAUAGUUUCAAAUGUUGCUUGACUGAAUAUUGGAGUAUGUAUAAUUUCUUGGAGAUGGAUAUGAUGUUUUACUUAGAUAUUUUCAGUAUUUCUUGGUGUGAAAUAAGUUAGUUUUCGGUAUAUACGACUUUGUGACCUUCUGAAUUUGUAGCCAGUGGCGGAGUCAGGAUUUUUCAUGAAGAGGGUUUAGAAAUAACUUACGAACAAAUCAAAAGGGGUUCAACAUCCACUAUAAUAAUUUUAACCGAAUAGUAUAAUUUUUCACCGAAGGAGGUUCGGAUUACCCCUCGCCGAAGGGUAGCUCCGCCCCUGCUUGUAGGCUGUAGCAUUUGCAAAAUAUAACCAUACAAGGGGUUGAGUUAGAGUAUAACAUAUGGGUUCGAAUGAACUAAUACGCUUUGGUUCAUUGAUAUACACAAAAUUUUAAUUUAAAAUCCAAUUAUUUAAAAAUUAGAAUCUCAAAUUCAUAAAGUUCUAUCUCCUCUUUAUGGCCAUUUGUGUAUGUUCUGCCUACUAAACUUAGGUAAGCAAAGAGAAACUAUAAACAGAAAGUUUGAACCAACGCCAUUUUACAUAAAUCUUCCAUGCAAAAAUUUGCACCCAAAAGAUAAGGUCACAACAAUCUAAUAAAUAUGUCUAAAGCAAGAAGCUACACACACAUAAAUUCUUUNNNNNNNNNNNNNNNNNNNNNNNNNNNNNNNNNNNNNNNNNNNNNNNNNNNNNNNNNNNNNNNNNNNNNNNNNNNNNNNNNNNNNNNNNNNNNNNNNNNNNNNNNNNNNNNNNNNNNNUUUAUCGGAUGUCCCCAAAGGGAGAAACAUGCUCAUUACUGUUGUGCAUUAUAAACAAGCGAAACUUCUUUCUGCAAAUGAUGUGGGAGAAGUAACAGGUUGGGCUUUCUACCUAUAUGGACCUGGACUCCUUUUUCCUUGUUUCUUCGUCCCAUCUAACCAAGCCCUGCUGCGCUUGGAGUUAUAAAUUUGACAUUCGAGACUAAAAUUGUAAAGAUUUGACUAAAUUUUGACGUUGUUUUGCCCGAAGCAUGGCCUUAUUAAGGCCAAACAUUAGACACUUUAUACUGUGGCAUUGCCAUGACCAAGCCUGAAAUAUUUUUUUCGAACUUUAACUUUGGAUCGACAGACUCUAACUUGAGACAUACAAUAGCUGGUCAAGAAUCAAAUCAUUACACAUAACCAUAUAUACAAGUGUUGGCGCUAAAGUAUACAGGUUCAACCAAACUAAUAAGCUUUGGUCCAAAUUUUAUACUGUAUUUGUCUUAAAAAUUCAUUGAUAUACACAAAUUUUUCUUGAAAAUCCAAUUACUUUGGGGAAAUUAGAAUCAUGAAUCCAUAAACUUUCAAUUCUCUUAUGUAGCCAUUAUACAUAGAUUGUUCAGUGCAAUUUGAGGAGUCCAAAGCAUAUGCACGAUAACUUGCUUGUGCUUUGCCUAAAAUUAGGUAAGCAAACAAAAAUUAUAAGCAGAAAGUUUGACCCAAUGGCAUUUAACGUAAAUCUUCCAAGACAAAAAUAUCCAAUUCAGAAGCGGAAAUUUCACAACAAUCUAAGCUGAUUCCAGGAAAAAAUAAAAGGAUUUUGGGAGGAAAAAAAUUUGGACCAUUUCUCGAUUUAUGCGUGUCAUCCCUGCGUAGGGUCCAUGCUAAUUGUAAUACCCCGUAUGUUUCUAAGCUAGGAGACGAAUCAUUUUUAUUACGUAUGAAACCUCCUAUCCCGUGAGUAGCAUUUUAGUUCAUGACUUACAAUGAGUAUCCUAGCUAUAAUAUAGCUUAUGAUGCAUUAAGCAUGUUCAUAUGAGUCACUUAAGGUAAUACAAGCUAAGAGUUUUUGAAUCCAUCAAGUUUUAGUGUUCGAUUUUGCAAGGGUCAUCUUUAAAUGAGUAUAACUCGAUGUUAAUGUGGUAUUUUAGCUAAUUUAGGCCCAUCAAAUUGUAGAUAAUUGAAUUAGCUUUCCAAUGAUACCAAUUUCACCUUAAUCCAAUACCUGAGCGAAAAGUUAUGUCCAUUUUCAUGAGAGACAGUAAGGAUAGGCGAUUGGUUAGGCGCUGGUUAGGCGCCGCCCAACCAAACUUAGGCGAUUGGUUAGGCGCUGCCUAAGUCAGUUCCAAUGCUAAAAACACUCCGUUUUGAGUUAUUUUAAGGGUAAUUAAGUCUUUUAACACUCCUUACAUGUCCCUAAUCAUCCAAGAGCACCAUAGGAGAAAAACAACUAGGGUUGCACAAUCAUGCUUGAAGAUCAAAUUCCAAGGAAAUUCCUCCAUCAAUCCAAAAGAACCUCCCUUCUAAGGUAUGCGUAGUGUUCAUCCACGGAUUCCUUUCGUCCGUGGAGUUCAAGAAUCAAUCUUUAAAAUACAAAAGCUUGGUUGAUUNNNNNNNNNNNNNNNNNNNNNNNNNNNNNNNNNNNNNNNNNNNNNNNNNNNNNNNNNNNNNNNNNNNNNNNNNNNNNNNNNNNNNNNNNNNNNNNNNNNNNNNNNNNNNNNNNNNNNNNNNNNNNNNNNNNNNNNNNNNNNNNNNNNNNNNNNNNNNNNNNNNNNNNNNNNNNNNNNNNNNNNNNNNNNNNNNNNNNNNNNNNNNNNNNNNNNNNNNNNNNNNNNNNNNNNNNNNNNNNNNNNNNNNNNNNNNNNNNNNNNNNNNNNNNNNNNNNNNNNNNNNNNNNNNNNNNNNNNNNNNNNNNNNNNNNNNNNNNNNNNNNNNNNNNNNNNNNNNNNNNNNNNNNNNNNNNNNNNNNNNNNNNNNNNNNNNNNNNNNNNNNNNNNNNNNNNNNNNNNNNNNNNNNNNNNNNNNNNNNNNNNNNNNNNNNNNNNNNNNNNNNNNNNNNNNNNNNNNNNNNNNNNNNNNNNNNNNNNNNNNNNNNNNNNNNNNNNNNNNNNNNNNNNNNNNNNNNNNNNNNNNNNNNNNNNNNNNNNNNNNNNNNNNNNNNNNNNNNNNNNNNNNNNNNNNNNNNNNNNNNNNNNNNNNNNNNNNNNNNNNNNNNNNNNNNNNNNNNNNNNNNNNNNNNNNNNNNNNNNNNNNNNNNNNNNNNNNNNNNNNNNNNNNNNNNNNNNNNNNNNNNNNNNNNNNNNNNNNNNNNNNNNNNNNNNNNNNNNNNNNNNNNNNNNNNNNNNNNNNNNNNNNNNNNNNNNNNNNNNNNNNNNNNNNNNNNNNNNNNNNNNNNNNNNNNNNNNNNNNNNNNNNNNNNNNNNNNNNNNNNNNNNNNNNNNNNNNNNNNNNNNNNNNNNNNNNNNNNNNNNNNNNNNNNNNNNNNNNNNNNNNNNNNNNNNNGCCUAGAGCCAUGUCAUGUUUUCACAAUACUCUCAGUCAAGCCAUGAUCUAUAAAAUUCAGUCAGUCAUGUGACUCAGGAAAACUCAAAAAUCUCAGUAAUCUCAGUAGUCCGGUAAUCUCAGUAAUCUCAGUGCUCAGUAACCUCAGCAACCUCAGUAUUCACAGUCAAUCUUAGUAACUUCAGUACUCUCAACCAGUCCUCAGAACUCAGUACAUUCCGUUAGUCAUUGGAAUCCAGUAAACUUAGUUUAGCUCUGCUAAACAAUACCACUAGUAUCAGUCCAGUUAAUCAGUAUCAGUUUAGUUCAGCUAUUCAGUUCAGCUUAGUUAUUCAGUUCAGUGUCCUUCAGAUGGGAGUAGAAGUUAGCACCGAGUAAACCCAAGGAUGGGAACUCACCUGCCAGUUCAGGGUGUGAUUCUUAGUAGUCAUCCUUGUGUUCCAGAACUACAUAGCCAGCGUAGGUUGAGACAUCUUAACCUGUCAGACUAGGGUUGAUGAGGUGGCUUAACCCGUCAGUUUAGGGUUCCCACCAUUCUCAUUUGAGUACCUGCCAGUAUAAGGUUUUCACAGCUAUCCUUUCCAGUGGCACGGUAUUGACACCCCUCCAGUCAGGGCGCCACUCACAACUGUCCUUAGCAUUGGCGCGGUAUUGGCACCCCUCCAGUUAGGGUAGAGAUUGAACCCCAUCUUAGCCAUAACGGCAUACACAGGGCAUGUCGGUUAAACACUACUUCCCACAGUUUCAGUAUCAGUCUCAGUUAAAGAACUUAGAUAGUUCUUCAGAUUUUAGUAUAUCAGGACUGUUAGAUACAGUCAACUCAAAAAUAGAAUUGAACUCAGAUAGUUUCCUUUAGAUUUAUGGACUGUAAGAUACAGUCACUUAUGCUAUCAAUCACAAAAGUUAUCAAAACUCAUGCUAUCAGUACUCAGCUUCAGGACUGUUAGAUACAGUCAAUCAGACCAGUUCUUCAUAAUUUGAACUGUCAGAAACAAUCAUUCAUUUAUCAGUAAUAUAGUAUCAGUCUCCCAGUAUUCAGUAAUACAGUAUCAGAUCCAUCACUUAUUAGUGAUUUACAUAUCAAUAUCAGUAAACUCAGUAUUUCAGAAUCUCAUAAUCAGUACACUCAUGUUGUCAGUAUUCAGAAUCAGUAGUUAAUAUCUCCACGAGUUCAGUUACAGUUAUGUAUGCGUGUAUGUACUCUCACGUUCAUACCAGUCAGUAUUUUUUAUGAAUAUAACCCUUUGCAUUUAGCCUACCUCACUUGUAUACUCAUUAUAUUCAGACGUAUUAACUCAUUUGUGCUAUGGUGCUUUCUCUUAUGUUACACCAUAGGUUCAGAGGCAUGAUCUCAAAAUUAGCAGUAGAUUCUAAGAUCAGCAGUCAGAGUUAGACGUGAGUCCUCAUUUUUUGAGGACAUGAUGAUUUCAUUUCUAUUUCAGUUUUCACUUUAUUUCAGUAGUUGGAGUUAGUAGGGGACAUGUCCUAUCAGCUCCUUAUUCAGUUCAAUUAAAGUCAUUCAGACUAGAUAUCAGAUUAGAUGUUCAGACUUCAGUAUUUAUGUUCCUUUUUGGUAUUGUUAUACCAUAUUUUUCAAAUAUGUAUUAGUAUAGAACCUUAUGGCCUUACAGUUCAUGUUUUCGCAUAUUUUAUGAGAUAUUAUGCAGUUUACAGGUACAAAUAUCAGUCAUGGGUUAGCUUGUGGUCCUUCGGGGUCAUGAGCACCGUAGCAUUUUGGUUCAGAAAAUUAGGGCGUUACACUAAUCUUCUCCGUAUCGUUCUAUUUUUAUCGGAUAUCCCCGAAGGGACAAGUGUGCCUGCUUCUGUUGAGCUUUAUAAAGAAAGCAAAACUUCUUUCUACAAAUGAUGUGGUAGAAAUAACAGUUUGGGGUUUUCACAGGCGCAAACCUGGACUCCUUUUUUUGCUUGUUUCUUCGUCCCAUUUUAACAAGCCCAUCUGUGCCUGGAGUUAUAGCUAUAAUGGGCUGGCCUUGUUUAUUUAAUUUGAUUUGCAAUAUGAGAAGUGGUAUAGCCUUGCUCUCUCAUUUGUCUCCUUUUGGAAAUUGCAUUUUAGCUACAGUUUUUUGCUUUUGCUUUUAUGUUCAUUCAUGCAUAUAGAGUCCAACUGAUCCUAGAGUCUAUAUUUGACCCCAAAGAACACUAGUCAAGUCCAUAUUCAACUUGUAAAGAAAUGAAUCUGGAACUUAAUUCAAAUCUAAAAGCUAGCUCAAAAGAUAUAAAAUUGCCUAAGGUAUAUUUUAAGAGACCAUACAUCUCUUCAAGGGUAGAUGUGGAACCCUUUUCACCCCUUCUCACGUUCAAGACUAAACAUCUAGUGCAUCCACAAUUUUAAUAUGGGCCCCAACAUCGUAAACAAGAAUUGACACGAGUCCUAUUCUUAUACCGUGUAGAGAAAUAAACUUAAGCCUAACUCAAACCCGAAAGCUAUAUCAAGAAGUGAGAAUUGUCAAGUCAUAUUAAAAGAGACUACUUAUUCCUUAACGAGAUAAAUGAGACAUUUCACAAACUUGUACCCAUUGAGGUCGUUUCAUUAAUGGGAUAUGAAAAACGAAUAUUUCGUGGGACUAACUAUUUCACCCUUUUAAGGAGUUACAAAAUGAUCCCGAAAUUAUUUAUCCCGAAAUAUUGUCCUUAUAGUAGCCAAUUUUUCUUGGUCUUUCUCCAUAGUCCACAUAAAAGGAGCUUUUCAAGAAGUUACCUACUAGCAGUCACUAAUUUUGAAAGGCUGAACAAGAAAGUGAUUGAUAUGCCUGUUUGGUAGCACGAAGAUGGGUUUGAGGGUGCAGUAUUUAUUCAAUCUGGUAAGUCAUAAUAAAAGCAAUUUAUAAUACUAUUGAUGUCCACUGCUUAUUUCUAGUUUUCUCAAUUUGCCAUGCCUCUUAUCUCUAAUUUCUCAGUCUAUCCAGGUGAAGCCCGUGACAGAAGGUCCAGGUAUGAAUGCUACUAUGAGUUAAUUUGGACGAAUUAAGAUGAGUUAAGCUAUAAACGAACAGGUUUAAUUUUGGCUGAAAUAACCUAUUCAACUCACUUGGCCUUGUCCAUUUUACAUUGGUUGCUCAAUACAAAUUGAGUAGUCCUUGCAUAUGCACAAUAACUUGCUUAAUGUAUUCAUAUCCUCUUUCCCAUUUGUGUGUGUUCUGCCUAAACUUACGUAAGCAAGACAAACUGUAAACAGAAAUUUAUCUAUAUUUGACCUAAUGCCACUUGAUAUGAAUCUUCCAAGACAAAUUUGCACACUAAAAACAUAAGGUCUACACAAUUUGUGUAAUGAACUAGAGGAAAAGAAAUUUCACUACAAUCUAAUCAAUAUUUGUAAAGCCAGAAGCUUUUUAACAUACAUAGAAAAUGAGUUGAAAAGCAAAACACAACCACACGAAGAAAUUGGGAAAAGUUAGGAAAAAUUUUGGACCAUUUCUUGAUUUGUGCGUGUCAUCCCUGCGCAGGGGCCAUGCUAAUCUUCUCUGUAUUGUUCCAUUUUUAUCGGAUGUCCCCGAAGGGACAAGCGUGCCUGCUGCUGUUGAGCUUUAUAAAGAGAGCAAAACUUCUUUCUACAAACGAUAUGGCAGAAAUAACAGUUUGGGGUUUUUGACAGGCGUAAACCUGGAUUCCUUUUUUUGCUUCUUUCUUCAUCCCAUUUGAACAAGCCCAUCUGUGCCUGGAGUUUAAGCUAUAAUGGGCUGGCCUUCUUUAUUUAAUUUGAUUUGCAAUAUGAGAAGCGGUAUAGCCUUGCUCUCUCAUUUGUCUCCUUUUGGAAACUGCAUUUUAGCUAGAGUUUUUUGCUUUUGCUUUUAUGUUCAUUCAUGCAUAUAGAGCCCAACUGAUCCUAGAGUCUAGACUUGACCCCAAAGAACACUAUUCAGGUCCAUAUUCAACUUAUAAAGAAAUGUAUCUGGAACUUAAUUCAAAUCUAAAAGCUAGCUCAAAAGAUAUAAAAUUGCCUAAGGUAUAUUUUAAAAGACCAUACAUCUCUUGAAGGGUAGAUGUGGAACGCUUUUCACCCCUUCUCACGUUCAAGACUAAACAUCUAGCGCAUCCAUAAUUUUAAUAUAGGCCCCAACAUCGUAAACAAGAAUUGACACGAGUCCUAUUCUUAGACCAUGUAGAGAAAUAAACUUAAGCCUAACUCAAACCCGAAAGUGUCACACCCCUUUUACGACCAGAAAGUUUUGAUUUUAAGUUCGAAAGGGUUUUUAUUAUCAAAGUGACGAAAAAUAAAAAUUUAUUUCGAAAAAGAAUUAUUUACAUUUUUUAUUCAGAGUCGCCACUUGGCAUAAUCCGGUGUGCCAAGUCACCUUUGAAAAAUCCUUUUCAAAACAAUUUGACUCUUUAAGACUGGUUUGCGAAUAGGGAUUCCGGCUAAGGAAUUCUAUUGAUCGAGGGGAAGGUGUUAGGCCCCCCUCGAUCCCGUGUCCGACCAUGGUCGCUUGGUGGAACGUAUCGGCUAACUUUGACACUAAGAAUGUAUAAACCACAUAAAACACAUAAACAAGCAAUAAACACAUCAAACAACAAUCCAAAUCCAAAAUAAUAAUGUUUAGUCCAAUUAUACAGUCCAAAAAUAAAAACAUACGGAAAGGUAAAACCUAUUCUAUUCUAAGCUAGUCCUAAACUAAACUCCAACCCGCUGCCUCAGGCCUUCGUCACGAACAUCCUCCUGGUACAAAAUACUUUGGGGCAUUCCCCGACGAAUCAACAGAAAUACCUCGGGGCAUUCCCCGUCCAAAUGAAUACACUUUAGUGCGAGAAAAUCAAACUAUUUAACAAAAUCUCAAAUAUUCAACAAAACAACAAGUCCUAAACUUUGCUUACCCAAUCUACAUUCGCCUAUUUAUUUCAACGCCAUUUGAUGAAUCAAAAUAAAUUAAUGAUUGCUUUUAUCAAUGUCAAUUCCAACCACCCACGUUGGCUUUCAUUUUUCAUCAAUUACACCAACUACUACUCCUAUUCAUUCCAUGUAUCAUCGAAAACACACCGUGAAGCACAAAAUCAUGACAUCAUAACGUCAACAAAACUCACCAACUACGAUCACAUCACACAUAAUCACAAGAAUUAAACACAUUUGAGAUAAUAACAAGAAUAUAGAGUUGAGGGAUGGACCUUAAACCACUUUUUGACCAAUAUUAUUCGAUGAGAUAAAGAAAACCCACCUCCGAUAACCUCUACUUAAGCCCCAACGACAAAUCUAUCCAGCUUAGCAUUUGGGAAAUUGAAACCCGAAAUCCAAUUCAAACAACCAAUCCGCAAAGUGACUGAAAGUAUUUAAUACACGCCCUGCAACGCGAAAUAGACGGGAUCUGCCUAUGACUUUCCCACCGGAGUCAAUUCAAAUCUUACUGGAAUCAACCCUCAAACAAACUGAAAUUGAACUCAAAACAGCUGGAAUCAACCCAAAAUAGGUCAAUCUCGGACUAGUUUUAACAAUUUGAUAGUGGUUUUCAGCAAUGGAUAUGGUCUAAAGGGAGUUUUCAAUGGAUUAUAGAGUUGAAUCGGAACUAGUGAGAGGAUUUUCGGUGAACAGUAGCCGAAAAACUUGAUCCCUGAUCAAAUUCUUCUCUCGGUGUCUCUCACAUCAUUCUCCUCUUCCGUGUACGUACGUUUUCCAGUGAGAGAACAUGUUUUCUGGUGAACUGUGAGUGUGUGCGUACGAGAUUCGUGGCGAAAAGAAGAGCGUUUUUUUUUGUGAGCUUUUCUUGUAAAGAAGAUAAUGGAGAAAAUAAAAAGAAGGGAUAGUCUGGUCAAUAAAGAAGAAAACCCCCCUUUUUUUAAUCUGUAUAUGUCAUGUAUAUGCUCUUUUGCCAAAAUGGAAAAAUGAUCCUUUUGUCCCUCUCCUGGAAGUUUCCUAGUGGGGCCCCUUUUUAAUGUUUAUCUUUUUUUGCCUUUGUGGACAAGAAAUAUGAGGGGGAGAGGGUCACGUGGGUAUGGGGUGUUGGGGGUAUGGGUAUGGGUAAUGUGUCUUACUUUAAUUGGGGUUGUUAGGAUGUUAAAAAGAAUAAAAGGUUGUUAGGGAUUUUGUUGAGAGUUAUUUUUUGUAUGUUUGUGGGAUGUAAUUACAUGGGUGGGAUAAGGUAAAAAUGGGUAAAACGAUAUUGGGGAGGGACGAAAUUACGUGUCUACAUCAUGCCCCCUUUGAAUGUAAACACACAGUGUUUUCAGACAAAGAAGUAAACAACGAGACCGAAUUUUGUCACGAUCUUUAUUUAAAGAGAGGAGUAAAAGAAAGAAGGACAAUCGAAUACUAUUAGACACCCUAUCUACCCAAGUCAUGAGGAAGUCACAAGUAUCUCAAAGGGUUGGAAGAGAAAUGGACUAUACCGAGUUGGAGAGUCGAGUGAGGUUCCAUCGAGGUUCCGAUCCGCGACUCUGUCANNNNNNNNNNNNNNNNNNNNNNNNNNNNNNNNNNNNNNNNNNNNNNNNNNNNNNNNNNNNNNNNNNNNNNNNNNNNNNNNNNNNNNNNNNNNNNNNNNNNNNNNNNNNNNNNNNNNNNNNNNNNNNNNNNNNNNNNNNNNNNNNNNNNNNNNNNNNNNNNNNNACUUUUCAUUUCUUCACCCUAUUCUCCAGGCGGGCUCCUGACUUGCUAUUUCAUCACUUUGUUGCUUGACUUUUCAUUUCUUCACUCUAUUCUCCAGGCGGGCUCCUGACUUGCUAUUUCAUCACCUUGUUCUUCAGAUGGGCCCCUGAAACCUAAAAUUAAAAUUCGAAUGAAAAUUAUCCCAAACAAAAAUUAUAGUAAAGUAGUAUUUCAUUUUUGAAAGCAUUGUCCCAUUUUCCAGGAGGGUCCUGAACAGAAAGUAAAAUCCCAUUUUUCAGGAGGGUCCUGAACAUAAAGUAAAAUCCCAUUUUUCAGGAGGGUCCUAAACAUGAAAGUAAAGUCCCAUUUUUCAGGAGGGUCCUGAACAGAAAGUAAAAUCUUAUUUUUUUAGGAGGGUCCUGAACAUAAAGUAAAAUUUCAUUUUUCAGGAGGGUCCUGAACAUGAAAGUAAAGUCCCAUUUUUCAGGCGGGCUCCUGAGUAGAAAAUAAAAUCCCAUUUUUUAGGAGGGUCCUGAGAAGAAAGUAAAGUCCCAUUUUUCAGGAGAGUCCUAACCAGAAAGUAAAAUCUCAUUUUUCAGAAGGGUCCUGAACAGAAAGUAAAGUCCCAUUUUUCAGGAGGGUCCUGAGUAGAAAGUAAAGUCCCAUUUUUUAGGAGGGUCCUGAAUAUAAAGUGAAGUCCUAUUUUUCAGGCGGGUCCUGAGUAGAAAGUAAAAUCCUAUUUUUCAGGAGGGUCCUGAGCAGAAAGUAAAGUCCCAUUUUUCAGGAGGGUCCUGAAAUAAAGUGAAAUCCUAUUUUUUAGGAGGGUCCAAAACAGAAAGUAAAGUCCCAUUUUUCAGGAGGGUCCUGAGUAGAAAGUAAAGUCUCAUUUUUCAGGAGGGUCCUGAGUAGAAAGUAAAGUCCCAUUUUUCAGGCGGGUCCUGAAUAAAAAGUAAAAUCCCAUUUUUCAGGAGGUUCCUGAUCAUAAAGUAAAUUCUCAUUUUUUAGGAGGGUCCUGAACAAAAAAGUAAAAUCCCAUUUUUUAGAAGGGUCCUGAACAUAAGGUCAAAUCCCAUUUUUCAGGAGGGUCCUGAAUUGAAAGUAAAGUCCUAUUUUUCAGGAGGGUCCUGAGCAGAAAGUAAAGUUCCAUUUUUCAGGAAGGUCCUGAACAGAAAGUAAAUUUCCAUUUUUUAGGAGGGUCCUGAAUUGAAAGAAAAAUCUCAUUUUUCAGGAGGGUCCUGAACAUAAAGUAAAUUCCUAUUUUUUCAGGAGGGUCCUGAAUUUAAAGAAAAAUCCCAUUUUUUAGGAGGGUCCUGAACAUAAAGUAAAUUUUCAUUUUUCAGGAGGGUCCUGAACAAAAAAGUAAAAUUCCAUUUUUCAGGAGGGUCCUGAACAAAAAAGUAAAAUUCCAUUUUUCAGGAGGGUCCUAAACAUAAGGUAAAAUUCCAUUUUUCAGGAGGGUCCUGAAUUGAAAGUAAAGUCCCAUUUUUCAGGAGGGUCCUGAAUUGAAAGUAAAAUUCCAUUUUCAAGAGGGUCCUGAGCAGAAAAUAAAGUCCCAUUUUUCAGGCGGGUCCUAAGUAGAAAGUAAAAUCCCAUUUUUCAGGAGGGUCCUGAACAUAAAGUAAAGUCCUAUUUUUUAGGAAUGUCCUGAACAAAAAGUAAAAUCCCAUUUUUCAGGAGGGUCCUGAACAUAAGGUAAAGUACCAUGGAUGUGCAUUUCCAAUGGUAGCUGAAUUAAGUGAAGCGAAUUUUCCCCUAUUUCAAAGAAAAUUUGUCAGUUAAAAACUUUGUAGUGGCUUGCAGCUCUUGAAUUCUCAGGUAUCUACCCCAGCACUCGUUCCUUUCAUCUUUGUUCCAAAUUGUUGACACUAUACCUGUCUUGCAGCAUCAUUGACCCGGAUCCAGAUUGAGGGAAAUGAGUUCUGACUCGAAUAAUGGGUUUCCAUUUUACCAUGCCUCUGAGGUGCACUCUUUUCCCAAAUCUGAAUGCUUCCAUGAAUCCAACAGCCUAUCGGUUGAUAGACUUCCUUUGCUUUAUGUUGAAUUACGAUCAUAUUUCUUUCAUAUGCUGGUCCUUGGCUUUUCCUCAUAUAGUUGGAAAGACUGGUAGUAAAUUUUGAAAUCCUUUCUCGCUUGUUUUGACACAUAUUUGACUUAAAAUAUAAAGAAAUGAUGGUGAAUUUUAUUUUGAUAAAUGACAUAAAAAGAUAAAAAGCAUGAAUAUAUAAAUGAAAAAAAAGGGAAAUGUCCCAUAUUAAAAAAGAAAACUUAUCUGAAUAUGACAAACAACUCCAAUGAGUAUGACCUGCAUUUUGGAUUAAGCUGCUUGAUCUUCCUAUCCAAACUCCCCGUUGGUUGUUGAGUUCGUGCCUUUGCCGCUGAGCCGCUUCUUCAAAUCCGUUGGACUCAUACAUCACAUUCAGUUGACGACAUCUUAAAAUACUUUCGCCAAUAAAUCUCUUUCUUUUCACUUUUCACUUUCCUCCUAAACUCGCCAUCACCUUACGGUGCCCGUGAGGGUUUUCACCAAUAAGACUCUCUCAUUUUUAUUUCUCUCCACUCAUCAUCGCCUUAUGGUGCCUGCGAGGGUUUUCACCAAUAAGACUCUCUCAUUUCCAUUUCUCUCAACUCACCAUCGUCUUAUGAUGCCCACGGGGGUUUUCACCAAUAAGACUCUCAUUUUGUAUUUCUUUCCUGAUUUCUUAUGCUGAGGGAGACACGUGGUACCUCACAAUGUAUCAUCAUAUCCAUUGCAUGCUUAGCCUUAACAUUAUCAAAAAUUGAUCUGAAGGACUUUCUUUGGUUGUAACUUGGCUUUCAGAUAAGGUUAGAAAAGGAUGACAAGAGGUUCAAACGACACUUGAAGUGGGGGUGGGACUUACAACUUUUGGAAUCGACUCAAACAACAUAUUAACUCAUGCCCCAGUUUUUGUUGACUGGGUGACUCUAAAAUCUUUAUUUGGUUGGACCGAGCCCGAAAUAGGGCAGCCUACGUAUCUCACUCCCGAGAGAGGAGAAUCAGGUUACACGUAGUUCCAUAAGCUUGUUCUUUAUUUUGAUUUGAUUUUUUUUUGGAACUCUUUCUUUUAUUCUUAUUUUCUUGACAUUUAUCUUUGACUCUAUUUUGAUUCCAAAAGAGGGAUAUGAAAGAAAAAAUAAAACGAAGCUCAAACUGGUAAACAAAGGAUGACGCAAUGUUUGGAUAGAAGAAUAAAAUGCUUUCAUCAUAUCAAUCUUCAAAAAUGCAAGUACUAAACAUGCAAUAAAAUCAACAAAGGAUCAAAUAUCAUACGUAAUAUCUUUUGACCGCAUCAGUAUUGAUAGCCAUUUCUGCCAUUUGCCUACAGUAUCUGUCAAAUAUAAGGCUCCAUUGGGCAACACUUUCUUGACAACGAAGGGCCCUUGCCAGUUAGGGGAGAACUUUCCUUUCGCUUCAACCUGGUGAGGAAGGAUAUGUCUCAAUACCAAUUGACCAACUUCAAAAUUCUUGGGACGGACCUUUUUGUUAUACGCUCGAACCAUUCUCCUCUGAUACAACUGGCCAUGACACACAGACGUUAGUCUUUUUUCCUCAAUCAAACUCAAAUAUUCCAGUCGGGUUUUUACCCAUUCGUCAUCAUCAAGCUUUGCUUCUACAAUGACUCAAAGAGAGGGAAUUUCAACUUCUGCAGGGAUGACUGCUUCUGUCCUAUACACCAAUAAAUAUGGAGUUGCCCCUGUUGAAGUGUAAACAGUGGUAUGAUCAUCUUAGGAAUUCCAAACCUACAAAUAAUGUUGGCCUGAACAAAAUCUACCACAGCCUUCUUUGUCACUGACUUGAAAGUUACUGCUUCUACCCAUUUUGUGAAGUAAUCAAUGGAUACCAAAAUGAAUCUAUGUCCAUUUGAUCGGUCCAAUCACAUCCAUUCCCCAAGCCACAAACGUCCAUGGAGCGGCCAUUGCAUGCAACUCAGCAGGAGGAGAACGUAUCAGAUCACCGUGUACCUGAUAUUGAUGACACUUUCAAACAAAUUGAACAGAAUCCCUCUCCAUAGUAAGCCAGUAAUAACCUGCUCGAAGAAUCUUCUUUGACAAGACAUGACCGUUCAUAUGCGACCCGCAUACUCUAGAGUGUAUUUCAACCAUGAUUUCUGAGGCUUCUCUUGCAUCUACACACCUCAAAAUUCCUAGAUUUGGGGUUCUCUUAUAUAAGAUCCCCCUACUUAAGAAAAAUCCACUAGCCAAACGCCUAAUAGUCCUCUUUUGAUUGUUGGUGGCAUAUGUUGGGUAUUCUCCUGACUGAAUGUAUCACUUGAUAUCCAAGAACUAGGGUUCUCCAUCGAGCUCUUCUUCAACCGCAUCACAGUAAGCAUGCUGAUCACGACUCUGUAUAUUCACAGGAUCGAUGUAGGCUUUAUCAGGAUGUUGGAGCAUUGAAGACAGAGAGGCUAAAGCAUCAGCAAUUUCAUUAUGAAUCCUUGGAAUAUGCCUAAAUUUUACUAACAUAAACCGCUGACAUAACUCCUGCAAGCAUUGUCGAUACGAGAUGAGCUUCAAAUCUCGCAUCUCCCAAUCUCCUUGAAUUUGAUAGAUAAUCAAAUCCGAAUCCCCCAACACCAAUAAUUCCUGGACUCCCAUAUCAAAAGCCAACCUCAAACCAAGAAUGCAAGCUUCAUACUCUGCCAUGUUGUUAGUACAGUAAAAUCAAAGUUGUGUUGUUACCGAGAAAUGUUGUCCUAAUUCAGAGAUAAGAACCGCACCUAUUCUGACUCUUUUCAUAUUGACAGCUCCAUCGAAGAAUAACUUCCAACCUGGAUCAGCAUCUAUAACGACUUCAUCGAUACACGACACUUUUUCGUUAGGAAAAUAUGUCUUUAAUGGCUUGUACUCUUCAUUGAUGGGAUUCUUAGCAAGAUGAUCUAUCAAGGCUUGGGCUUUCAUGGCGGUUAGAGUCAUAUAUACAAUUUUGAACUCGGUAAGCAAUAUUUACCACUUUGUCAAUCGACCUAUCGGCAUAGGCUUUUGAAAGAUAUACUUCAAAGGAUCCAUGCAGAAGAUGAGAUAAGUAGUAUAGGAUGAGAGAUAAUGCUUUAACUUCUGUGGUACCCAAGUUAGGGUACAACACGUGCUUUCAAGAAGAGUAUACCUGGCCUCAUAUGCGGUGAACUUAUUGCUAAGAUAAUAAAUAGCAUGCUCCUUUUUGCCCGUGACAUCAUGUUGACCCAAAACACAACCGAAAGAAUUGUCCAUGACUGAUAAAUAUAAGAUCAAAGGCCUACCAGGCUCCGGUGGUACCAGCACGGGCGAAUUUGACAAAUAUCUUUUGAUUCUGUCGAAUGCUUCCUAAAAUUCUUCAGUCUAUUCUACCGCAACACUCUUUUUCAGCAACUUGAAUAUGGGCUCACAAGUGGUUGUGAGUUGAGCAAUAAACCUGCUAAUAUAGUUCAGUCUACCAAGCAAACUCAUUACCUCCGUCCUAUUCUUGGGCGGGGACAAAUCUUGAAUGGCUUUGAUUUUUGUGGGAUCCAAUUCAAUCCCCCGAUGGCUGACCACAAAGCCCAACAGCUUUUCAGACGGAACUCCAAAUACAUAUUUUGCUGGGUUGAGCUUAAGAUUAUACCUGCGAAGCCUUUCAAAGAACUUUCUUAAAUCUUUAACAUGGUUGGCCUGACUUUUUGACUUAAUAAUCACAUCAUCCACGUACACCUCAAUCUCCUUACGUAUCAUAUCAUGAAACAUAGUGGUCAUGGCUCUCAUGUAUGUUGCUCCAGCAUUCUUCAANNNNNNNNNNNNNNNNNNNNNNNCAUCACUCGAUAACAAUAGGUCCCCCAUGGUGUGAUAAAAGAUGUCUUCUCCACGUCUUCAUCAUCCAUAAUGAUCUGGUGAUAUUCGGCAUAGCAAUCCACAAAAGAGGCAACCUCGUGUUUAGCACAGUCGUCUAGCAAAAUAUGGAUGUGGGGCAGUGGAAAAUCAUCUUUCAGACUUACUAUAUUCAAAUCACGGUAAUAAACACAUACUCAAAUUUUGCCAUCUUUCUUUGGUAUGGAAACAACAUUCGAUAACCACAUGGGAUAACGAGCCACUCAAAUUACUUUAGCUUUAAGUUAUUUCAUGAUUUCCUCUUUGAUUUUAAUACUUACAUCAGUUUUAAACUUCCUCAACUUCUGUUUGACAGGAGGGAAUGCGGGGUCAGUUGGCAAUUUGUGAGUCACUAAUUCAAUGCUUAAACCAGGCAUAUCGUCAUAAGACCAUGCAAAAACAUUCUUAUAAUCAAUUAAUGCUUGAAUCAUUCCAUCUUUUAGCUGUGGCAAAGCAUGUACACUGAUUUUAGUUUCCCUAACAUCUUUUUCAUUUCCUAGAUUUAUUGGCUCAGUCUCAUUCAAAUUAGGAUUUGGUUUGUCUUCAAACUGUUCCAACUCUUUGCUAAUUUCUUCUAGUGCUUCUUCUUUAUCAUAUUCCCCAUCCUGCUUCAUUACAUCUUGAUUAGUUUGGAUUUUAAGAUCAGGCUAAAAAUUCUGCAUGCAUGUCAUGUCAUUAGAAUCAGCAUAAAGAGAACUGUAUAAAAAAAAGAAAAACAAAAUAUAUUAGACACGAAACAAAAGGAACAUUGUAUUCCAUUAAAUAAAAAGAUAGAAGGUCUUAAGCAUAGAUGCUAAAAUAACAUAAACAAACUAAAAUCCGAAUUACAACCCUGAAAUAACUCGAAUAAACAGAAAGAAAAACAAAAUAAACUACCAAAACUCCCUCCUGACGGGGAGAGAAGUGACUUCCCAAUUAUUGAGUCGGACAGCUGGACCUAUGAAUUACACGUCGGACAUACUGGUACCUUCUCUUGCUUCGACCAUAUCAACUUCAAUANNNNNNNNNNNNNNNNNNNNNNNNNNNNNNNNNNNNNNNNNNNNNNNNNNNNNNNNNNNNNNNNNNNNNNNNNNNNNNNNNNNNNNNNNNNNNNNNNNNNNNNNNNNNNNNNNNNNNNNNNNNNNNNNNNNNNNNNNNNNNNNNNNNNNNNNNNNNNNNNNNNNNNNNNNNNNNNNNNNNNNNNNNNNNNNNNNNNNNNNNNNNNNNNNNNNNNNNNNNNNNNNNNNNNNNNNNNNNNNNNNNNNNNNNNNNNNNNNNNNNNNNNNNNNNNNNNNNNNNNNNNNNNNNNNNNNNNNNNNNNNNNNNNNNNNNNNNNNNNNNNNNNNNNNNNNNNNNNNNNNNNNNNNNNNNNNNNNNNNNNNNNNNNNNNNNNNNNNNNNNNNNNNNNNNNNNNNNNNNNNNNNNNNNNNNNNNNNNNNNNNNNNNNNNNNNNNNNNNNNNNNNNNNNNNNNNNNNNNNNNNNNNNNNNNNNNNNNNNNNNNNNNNNNNNNNNNNNNNNNNNNNNNNNNNNNNNNNNNNNNNNNNNNNNNNNNNNNNNNNNNNNNNNNNNNNNNNNNNNNNNNNNNNNNNNNNNNNNNNNNNNNNNNNNNNNNNNNNNNNNNNNNNNNNNNNNNNNNNNNNNNNNNNNNNNNNNNNNNNNNNNNNNNNNNNNNNNNNNNNNNNNNNNNNNNNNNNNNNNNNGGACAAAUCUCCUUCACCGUGAAUAACCACUUCUUGCCUGUCAUGCUCAAACUUAAUCAUUUAGUACAGUGUAGAUGCAACCGCCUUGGCCUUGUGGAUCCACGGCCUUCCCAACAACAGAUUGUAAGAGGAGUCUAUAUUCAAUACUUGAAACUCUAUGGCAAACUCAACAGGCCCUAUGAUCAACAUUAGUUUUAUUUCGCCAAUGGAGUUUGAUUUUGCACCAUCGAAAGCCCUGACACAUACAUUGUUGGGCCUGAUCCUCUUAGCACCAAUAUUCAACUUUUAUAAAGUAAAAAUAGGGUAGAUAUUUGCACCUGAACCUCCGUUAAUCACAACAUGAGUGAAGUAGAAAUCUUCGCACUUCACUGUAAUGUAAAGGCCCCGGUUAUGCCCUGCACCUUCAACAGGAAAUUCAUCGUUAGAAAAGCUGAUCCAAUUGACCUCAAAGAUUUUUUCAACCAUUUUCUCAAGAUGAUUUACUGUAAUCUCCCUAGGAACAUAUGCUUCAUUUAAUACCUUCAAUAAAAUAUCACGAUGCUCCUUAGAGUGCAACAACAAAGAUAAGAGGGAAAUUUGAGCAGGGGUUUUCUUCAGCUGGUCUAUUAUUGAAUACUCUGGCCAUUUCAUCUUUUUCAAAAAUUCUUCGGCUUCUUCUUCAGUGAUAGGCUUUUUGAUAGAUGAUGGUCCACUCACAAUUGGCUUGGACUUUCUUAAAGUUUCAGGCACGAAGCAUCUUCCUGACCUAGUCAAACCCCUACCUUAUCUACAUCUUCCACUACUUCUUUCCCAUGAUAGGUCAUCACAGUCCGCCCAUAAUUCCAGGGAACCCUUUUCGUAUCAACUAUCGGAUGUUAGGUCACCAGAUUGAGGACAAUAGGCGCUGUCAGUGCUUCUUUCACCGUCAAGAUGGGCUUACUCAGAGCUCCUACCACUGUCAACUUAGGUUUAUCCUGACUUAAAUCAACAUACCUUCUGGAACCUUACACCGUGAUCAGGGGUUUCGUUGUGCUUUCUUAGGCUUUAUCUUCUCUCAUUCCUUCCUGGCUCAAUGACAUUGCUUUCAAAGACUCUGCUACAUUCACCAAUUUCUCCUCAAUGGUCUGUAUCUUAAUGAUAGGCUUAUAACACCUUGACGACUUUUACCCAUCAUAUAUCAAUUCUAACAUAUUAGUUUUAGCAUGGGUUGGCAGCUGAUUCUAGUUAAUGUUUGGACCCUUCGGGGCCAGGACCAACAUCUAAUUUGUGUCAAUUAAAUCUUGGACAACUCUCUUUAAAUGCCAGCAUUUCUCGAUAUCAUGGCCUGGUAUGUCAGAACAGUACACACACCUUAAAGAAUAAUCGAGAUUCCUCGACAGUGGAUUUAAAAGCCUUCCUUGAAUUGGGCUUAAGACCUUCAACUUUCUCAACCUAUCAAAAAAUUUAGCAUAUGAUUCCCUAAGAGGUGUGAAUUGAUUUUUGACCGCCUUCUCUUUCUUAUACUCGGUCCUAGGUUAAAAACCGGGUCUGGAGGGGUUUUGGUAAUUCGGUACAGUGGAUGGGCGAUUUUGUGAAGCUUGUGCGCACCAUUACGGGAAAGAAGGGGUUUGGGCAUAUUGCCGCAUGCUAUAUACUGGGUAUGGAGGUGGUGGAAUGACAUAUAAAGGGUUUUGUGGAGGAUAGUAAUGGUGGGGAGGAAUAUAUGGAGCUUGGGCAUAUACUUGGGCUUGGGAUUGGGGAUAGGGGCGAUGUGGUCUUUUGGGAUAAGAAUGGGUUCCAGCUACGACAGUCGCCACGUCCUCUUUCUUUUUUUUACCUCCGAAUGGGCCAGAUCCACCUUAAAUCGCUUGUGUGGUGGCUUUCAAUGCGGCAAAACUCACUAUUCGACCGGUCUUAAUUCCGUCCUCUAUCAUCUCCCCCAUUUUGAGGACUUCAAUAAAAGACUUUCCCAUUGGCGGAAGUAAAUAUUAAAAAUAAGUCUCAUCCUAUGCCUGAAUGAAAACCUCUACCAACUUACUUUCUUUCAUUGGAGGCUUUACCUUGGCGGCCUGUUCACGUCACCUUAUCGCGUAUUCCCUAAAACCUUCAGUGCUUUUCUUCUUCAUGUUGACCAAGGAUUUUUCAUGUUGACCAAGGAUUUUUCGUCCAGAAUCAGGUCGAUGUUAUACUGAAAAUGUAGCACAAACUCAGAAGCUAAGUCAUCCCAGCUGUUUCACUUGUCGAUAUCUUGAUCGAUAAACCAUUCUAAAGCCAGAUCAGAAAGACUCUCGCCAAAGAAAGCCAUGAGCAGCUCUUCCCUUCCUCCUGCAACCCUCAAUUGGUUACAAUAACGUCUUAAGUGUACCAAGGGAUCAUCGUGCCCUACAUACUUCUCGAACUUGGGCAUUUUAAAACUGAGGGGAAGGUUGAUGUAUGGGAACAUGCAAAGAUCUUUAUAGGAAACACUCUUAUAACCUCCGAUUCCUAGGAAAUUCCUCAUAGCCUAUUCUAAACUUUUCAACUUCCGCGCUAUGACUUCCUAUUUCUCUGUUGUGACAGGUUUCUCUGUAUCAAAUGGAAAUACAGGUGGCUGUGUUUACCCAUAUGGUUCAUUCAUUCUCAAAAUAGGCUCCGGGGUAUAAUACUGACUGUCUGGAACCUUUAAUACUGGCUCAUUGGCAGACCGAGGAAGCCCCAUUGUCGGACGCACAACAUAUGUGGGAGCUUCAGGUCAUCACAGAUCCAUGAAUACUGGUGUGAUCGGUGGCACCAGCUGAGCAGCGGGUCUUGAUUGGGGAGCUGCCAAGGGCACAUUAGAACUUCCAGGAUAAUAAUGUCGCAGAGUGAAUCCUGGCGCGUGCUCAGGUAACUCAGUAAGAGUAGAGAAUUGCACCUGAGAGAGUGGUGGGCAAUUAGAGAUAUUCCCAAGACCUUCAGGGAGCGGAUGAGGAGGCAUUCCUCUGGCCCAUGCCCGGUGCAAAUCUAUCAAUUGUUGCCUGAGCCUUACUAUCUCAUCAUUGUGUUCUAAACUUUCCUCCCUGUGAUCCUGAUUCGGGUCAAGCUUUGCUUUUGAUCUAGUGAAGUAUGGGUGACUAGCCAGAGUGCUGCAAACCUAUCACUUUAAUAUGAAGGAACAUGCUCAUCAAAGACGACAUCUGUUAGGAUUAGGGCACACAAUAAGUAUGGGAAUCACACUGGUAAAAUUGUCCUAAAUUCAAGUUUAUUUCUACCAGCUUUUGAGGGUAGCGAGGUCAUUUUAACAUCAUCCUGAUUUUUAUCUACACUUAUUUGCUUUUUUCCUCCAAACACACCCUCCUUUUUUUUCGCCCUCCUUUCCUUCUCUCUAUUUUUUUUCUUUUUUUUUUCGUAUCAGUCUCUAUUUUUUUCCCUUAUUGUCUCAUCAUCCUUUAUUUCUUUUCUUCUCUCGCUAUCUACCUUCAUUAUAUCAUUCUUUAUGGCUUUUGUUUUUUUCUUUAAAUGAGGAAAAAUAAUGAAAAACAACGAAACAAAAUGAUUAGAUCAAACCCAAAAGUAGGUUGCCUACGUAUCAUAUUGUACAUGAAUCAGAUCUUGCAUAGUUCGGGAUGUAUAUGCAUAAGCAUCACACAAUUAAAGGUUUUUUUUCACGAAAAAUGAAAACAAGUAAACAAAAGAAAAACGUAACAUCAUAACAUUUCGAUGAAAGAAACAACAAAACAUACAAGAAAUUUAGGACCACUUUAAAACCAAACAACAAAUACAAAACCACAUUCUAAACCCCUAAUGACAUCCGUGCAAUUACUAAUAAAGACCCGAAUAUCAAAAACAACUUGAAUCCGACUUAACACAGACACCACCCUACAAUGAAAGAAACAUAAAAGACUCAAAAAUACAUAAAGAUAAGGCAUGUUCUUUCAAAUUGGUGCUCUGUGUGACGUCCCCGGCUGAGAUGAAACCAUCUGUGAAGUCCCCUCUUUUCCACUCAGACUUUGCAACAUAUCCUGCAACAACAUUUUGAUACCAGGGAACAAAUUUCUCGCCCGUAUCCCCGCCUCUUGGAGAUUACACCUGCAAAGAUUUCUCUGACACCCAUCCACAUUUAAGAUCAAACGUGACAACUGAACUCUCAAAAACUCCACCUUGGCACCCGGAUCUUCCUGCUCAUCAUCCUCUACGAUGAUUGUUUCCCGUAUUCACCCUCUAAGUUGGGCUGGUAAGGGUCUACUAAUGCCAUGGGGCAGAGAUUGUAGCCAGAUUUCAUAGUUCUGAGUGUAUCUUGGAUUUUCCUCGAGAGUAUCGGCACCUAGCUUUAUCGUGUUAUCAUAGAAUUGCUCAUAUUUUCUUUCCCCCACGGCUUGGUCUUUAAAGUACUCUACAUCCUUUAGAAGGUCCAUUAUUGGGGGGACGUCUUGCAUCCUAACCAACUGGUGCAUCACCCUUCUUGGACUAUAAGGCCUAGUGUAGUUAAGUCCUAUCAAAACUAGAAAGAGUUGCACUUGAGAUCCAAUCAAGAUUUUCUUAGGACGAAACCACAUAUAGCACCAAAGAAUGUUAUUCGGAGUUCUUGAUUUGAGAAAUUCGAUCCAAGAAUUGACUCCCAUAGGAAAAGAAAAUUUGUCAAAACGCAUACUCUCUUGCAUGGCUUACACUCGAUCAUUCAGACAACGGUCGAUCACAUCUGCUCUAAUCAAAGAAAGCGUAUGCAAGUGCUCCAUCAUCCACAACUGCAAUAUCAGAUUACUCCCUUAAAAAAUCGUACCCAUCCUUUUACUUCAGUUAAAGCCUUAUAUAUUUCUGUUAAGAUCAUUGGUACAAUGGUGACCUCAUCUUUUUCUUGAAUAAAGCUAUCACCGCUGAUUGUAGACGAGAAUUGAUACACCUCUCAUCUAAAGGGAACACUAAGAUACCCAACAAAGCCAGACAGAAAACCUUAUGAGGAUGUUGUUCCCAGAUUUUUUUGGUAGUACAGAAUUCAUCCCAAAAGCAGUCAAAACCCUCUAAGGACCAAAAUCUAGCAAACAAAUAGUCCCAGGAAAUCCAAGAUUGUUUGAGACAUCCCAGAUGCUUGUUAUCUUUUAAUCCACAAAGUCGAAGGAAUUUCUUAUGAGUAUGAUUGCGGGCUAAAAUCAUCUGUUGACCCAUGUAAGUCAACCGAAACAAAUGAGAUACUUCUGCCAGGGUAGGAGUCAAUUCACAACUUCCGAACCUAAACACAAAAUUAUUUGGAUCCCAGAAAGUCAACGCAGCUUCUUUUAGAUCCGGACGAGGCGUGAGAUCCAUGAGUGCUACAAGAUUGUCUAACACUUUCCUCACUUUGUGCUUUUCAGAGUAAUUGAAUGUGCCCCACCACUUGAUCAACUUUUUGGGUACCUUGACAACCAGAAGGACCCUAGACUUUGUGGACAGAUCCAUCCUGUAGUUGCAGAUAAGAAAUUAUCUCAAAAAUUUGAUAAGAGCAAAAGGAUCCCAACCAAUGGGAAUUUGAUGCGGAAAUACGUCGAUGGGACAGAACGCUUCAUGACUCUAAAUCACCGAAUAGUAACGCUGAAUAAAAUCAGCCUACUUGACUAAUAACUCUAGGUUACGGGGUAAAAGACCUAGCCUAAGACUAAGACAAAGGCCAAAAUAAAGGUUACCGGACCCACCGAGGGUUGCCUAUGUAUCCCAUCCCGAGAGAUGGGAAUCAGGUAUGCGUAGUUCGUCCAUGUUGGACAAAUAAAGAUUGACUAACAGACUGACCCUAACUUAAGAGACACAACCAAAGACCGAUGAAUAAAAGAAAAAUAGAAAAAAUUUGGGUUUUUAAUUUGACACCAACAACUUAUGAAAGAAAAAAAUCUUUUUGGUAUUUUCGUUAAAUGAAAUGUACAAAACUUCUACCACCUUUUUUGAAUUUUUCUUUUACAAAAAGCCCCUAAAAAAAUUUUUUUUUUGGAGUUUUCGAAUUAUGAAAGCUUGCUAAAGGAAAAAAAAGAAAAAUCUUUUUGAUUUUUUUUUUGAAUUUUUGAAUCGUGGAAAACAAAAGCCAUAAAGAACUCUAAAAACUACAAAACUCUUUUUCAGACUAAUUUUUUUCUUCUUUUUUUUCACAUACUUUACUUUCUAACACAUGCUUUACCCCACAUCAGUCUGUCAAAUGACCACGUUAUCCUCAAAUAUGCAACAUUUAGCACGUAGGAAUGCUUUAGAGGUAAGUCUCCUACAAAGGACCAAAUGGACCCGCUAGGUCUCAAUAUGAUGCACAUAAGCAUGACCUAAAGGUUGACCUACGCUAGGGUUCACUAACAAGGCCGUUCGGGGGAGCAUAUGGUCGAUAGUGGCUGAUUAGCUUUCCACCUACUCCACACAUCCAACGGCUCCCCCCCAAAAUAAAGGUGAAUCAACUAGAGUUCGUGCCCACGACGUGUGCUCCGAGACUUGUUGCGGAAAGAAUGACUCGGGUUAUGCACAUGAUGUCAGAUAUAAAAGUGGCAACACAUAGGAUAAAUACUGUAAACAAAGAGCACGAAAAUACACAAAAGUGAAAACACAAACAAAAAUCACAAACAAUGCUUAUACACUCGUAAUGCCAAACAAAGCCGAUACGACUCCAAAAAAAAAGCUCGAAUUCUGAAAUUUCCCCAGCCGAGUCGCCAGAGCUAUCACACCACUUUUACGACCAGAAAGUUUUGAUUUUAGGGUUUUUAUUAUCAAAGUGACGAAAAUGAAAAUUUGUUUCAAAAAAGGAUUAUUUACAUUUUUUAUUCAGAGUCGCCACUUGGCAUAAUCCAAUGUGCCAAGUCACCUUUGAAAAAUCCUUUUCAAAACAAUUUGACUCUUUAAGACUGGUUUGGGAACAGAGAUUCCGGCUAAGGAAUUUUGUUGAUCGCGCGGAAGGUGUUAGGCACCCCUCGAUCCCGUGUCCGACCACGGUCGCUUGGUGGAACGUAUUGGCUAACUUUGACACUAAGAAUGUAUAAACCAAAUAAAACACAUAAACAAGCAACAAACACGUCAAACAACAAUUCAAAACCAAAAUAAUAAUGUUCAGUCCAAUUAUACAGUCCAAAAAUAAAAACAUACGGAAAGGUAAAACCUAUUCUAUUCUAAGCUAGUCCUAAACUAAACUCCAACCCACUGCCUCGGGCCUUCAUCACGAACAUCCUCCGGGUACAAAAUACUUUGGGGCAUUCCCCGGCGAAUAAACACAAAUACCUCGGGGCAUUCCCCGGCCAAAUGAAUACACUUUAGUGCGAGAAAAUCAAACUAUUUAACAAAAUCUCAAAUAUUCAACAAAAGAACGAGUCCUAAACUUUGCUUACCCAACCUACAUUCGCCUAUUCAUUUCAAUGCCAUUUAAUGAAUCAAAAUAAAUUAAUGAUUGCUUUUAUCAAUGUCAAUUCCAACCACCCACGUUGGCUUUCAUUUUUCAUCAAUUACACCAACUACUACUCCUAUUCAUUCCAUGUAUCAUCGAAAACACACCGUGAAGCACAAAAUCAUGACAUCAUAACGUCAAUAAAACUCACCAACUACGAUCAUAUAACACAUAAUCACAACAAUUAAACACAUUUGAGACAAUAACAAGAAUAUAGAGUUGAGGGAUGGACCUUAAACCAUUUUUUGAACAAUAUUAUUCGAUGAGAUAAAGAAAACCCGCCUCCGAUAACCUCGACUUAAGCCCCAACGACAAAUUUGUCCAUCUCAGUAUUUGCAAAAUUGAAACCCGUAGUCCGAUUCAAACAACUAAUCCGCAAAGCGACUGAAAGUAUUCAAUACACGCCCUGUAACGCGAAACAGACGGGAUCUACCUACGACUUUCCCACCGGAGUCAAUUCAAAUCUUACCGGAAUCGACCCUCGAACAAACUGAAAUUGAACUCAAAACGACCGAAAUCAACCCAAAAUAGGUCGAUCUCAGACUGGUUUUAAUAAUUCGAUCAUGGUUUUCAGCAAUGGAGAUGGUCUAAAUGGAGUUUUCACUGGAUUAUAGAGUUAAAUCGAAACUAGUGAGAGGAUUUUUGAUGAACAGUAGCCAAAAAACUCGAUCUCCGAUCAACUUCCUAUCUCGGUGUCUCUCACAUCAUUUUCCUAUUCCGAGUGCAUACGUUUUCGGUGAGAGGACGUGUUUUCUGGUGAACUGUGAGUGUGUGCGUGUGACAUUCAUGGUGAAGAGAAGAAUGUUUUUUUUGUGAGCUUUUCUUGUAAAGAAGAUAAUGGAGAAGAUAAAAAGAAGGGAUGGUCUGGUCAAUGAAGAAGAAAACCCACUCUUUUUGUUUGAUCUGUAUAUGUCGUGUAUAUGCUUCUUUGCCAAAAUUGAAAAAUGGUCCUUUUGUCCCUCUCCUGGAAGUUUCCUAGUGGGGCCCCUUUUUAAUGUUUAUCUCUUUUUGCCUUUGUGGACAAGAAAUAAGAGAGGGAGAGGGUCACGUGGGUAUGGGGUGUUGGGGGUAUGGGUAUGGGUAAUGUGUCUUAUUUUAAUUGAAAGGGUUGUUAGUAUGUUAAAGAGAAUAAAAGUUUGUUAGGAAUUUUAUUGAGAGUUAUUUUUUUUAUUUUUGUGGGAUGUAACUACAUGGGUGGGAUAAGGUAAAAAUGGGUAAAAUGAUAUCAGGGAGGGACGAAAUUACGUGUCUACAGAAAGCUAUAUCAAGAAGUGAGAAUUGUUAAGUCAUAUUAAAAGAGACUACUUAUUCCUUAACGAGCUAUAUGAGACGUUUCACAAACAUGUACCCAUUGAGGUCGUUUCAUUAAUGGGAUAUGAAAGACGAAUAUUCCGUGGGACUCACUAUUUCACCCUUUUAAGAAGUUACAAAAUGAUCCCGAAAUUAUUUAUCCUGAAAUAUUGUCCUUAUAGUAGCCCAUUCUGCUUGGUCUUUCUCCAUAGUCCACAUAAAAGGAGCUUUUAAGAAGUUACCUACUAGCAGUUACUAAUUUUGAAAGGCUGAACAAGAAAUUGAUUGAUAUGCCUGUCUGGUAGCACGAAGAUGGGGUUGAGGGUGCAAUAUUUAUUCAAUCUAGUAAGUCAUAAUAAAAGCAAUUUAUAAUACUAUUGAUUUCCACUGCUCAUUUCUCGUUUUCUCAAUUUGUCAUGCCUCUUAUCUCUAAUUUCUCAGUCUAUCCAGGCAAAGCCCAUGACAGAAGGUCCAGGUAUGAAUGCUACUAUGAGUUAAUUUGGACGAAUUAAGAUGAGUUAAGCUAUAAACGAACAAAUUUAAUUUUGGCUAAAAUAACCUAUUCAACUCUCUUGGCCUUGUCCAUUUUACAUUGGUUGUUCAAUGCAAAUUGAGUAGUCCUUGCAUAUGCACAAUAACUUUCUUAAUGUAUUCAUAUCCUCAUUCCCAUUUGUGUGUGUUCUGCCUAUACUUACAUAAGCAAGACCAACUGUUAACAGAAAUUUAAUUAUAUUUGACCUAAUGCCACUUGACAUGAAUCUUCCAAGACAAAUUUGCACACUAAAAACAUAAGGUCUAUACAAUUUUUGUAAUGCACUAGAGGAGAAGAAAUUUCACUACAAUCUAAUCAAUAUGUGUAAAGCCAGAAGCUUUUUUACAUACAUAGAAAAUGAGUGGAAAAGCAAAACACAACCACACGAAGAAACUGGAAAAAGUUAGGGAAAAAAUUUGGACCAUUUCUUGAUUUGUGUGUGUCAUCCUUGCGCAGGGGCCAUGCUAAUCUUCUCGCAUGCCUACUGCUGUUGUACUUUAUAUAGAGAGCAAAACUUCUUUCUGCAAACGAUGUGAGAGAAAUAACAAGUUAGGCUUGUUUCUUUGUCCCAUCUGAAUAAGCCCAGCUAUGCCCACAAUGGGCUCUCUCGUUUGUUUCAAGCAUUUUUAGCUAACGUUUUUUUUUUGUGUAAACAGCAUAAAUCCCCUAACUUGGAUGGUGGUUUGCCAUGGUUUCAUAAUGUACGGUACCAUACGGUAUGGUAUUGUACUGUACAGUAUAAUACAAUACCAUGCUUGGAUAGACUGUAUCGUUCACUACUGGUUAAUAAUAAUUUUAUUAUUUGGUUUGACAGUAUGGUACUGCAUCGUAACUGAUAAGUUUACUAAAAUAUCUUUAAUGAUUAUAAAUAUUAAAUUUAUCAGUAAUUAUUAGUAAAAUAAUUUUCUUCGUACUAAUUUGUCAUAAAUUAUGUUAUGUAGAUAUAUUAAGUUGAUAGAUUCAUGUAAAUUCUAACAAAGUCAAUAAAGAAGAAGAUCAAAAUAACUAUAACCAGAUUCAUUUUUUUUAGUAACAAAUUUUAUCUCUUUUUGGUGUUUUGAGACGUGAUACCAACAACAAAUAUAAAGUUUGAAUGCAUCUCUUGUGUAUGCUAUGUUUAUGUUCGGUGAUGAAUUUUUAAAAAUAUUUUCUAGAAAAAUAUAUUCGUAAAGCUUGGUUUAAAUUUUCUACACGUAUUCUCUUUCGUAAAAUUGGUCAAUUCUCCUUAAUUCAAUUUUCGGGAAAAUGAUAUCUUUUGCUUUCUUACAAAAUGAAUAGUAGAAAAUAGCUUAUUCAAAUUAAAAAUCGUUUAAUAGAUGAAUUUUUCCAAUUUCAAUAGAUCUUUUAUUGGGAAAAUAGAGUCGUUUGAUGUGAUAGUUGUUACGUAUCAUUUCAUAAAUUAUUAUUUUUAUUGUAUUGUAGUGUGCAUUGUUUUAAUGAGUAUAACAUUUGAAGAUUGUACUAUCAUUUUUCGGUUGUUACAUAAUGUUACAUGUCACACCCCUUUUUUUCACUCUCAAAAGAUUGUAUUGUGGUUUGAAAUGGUUUAUAUUAUUAAAGUGACAAAAAAAAUAAAAAUUUGUUUCGAAAAAGGAUUAUUUACAUUUUUUAUUCAGAGUCACCACUUGGCAUAAUCUGGUGUGCCAAGUCACCUUUGAAAAAUCCUUUUCAAAACGAUUUGACUCUGUAAAAUUAGUUUGCGAAUAGAGAUUCCGGCUAAGGAAUUCUAUUAACCGAGGGGAAGGUGUUAGGCACCCCUUGAUCCCGUGAUUUGACCACGGUCGCUUGGAGGAGUGUAUCGGCUAAUUUGGCACUACGAAUAUAUAAACCAUACAAAUACACGCAAAACAAUCAUUCAAGCAAACAAAAUUCAAAACCAAAAUAGUGUCCGAGUUAUAUAUCCCCAAAAAUAGAAAAAUACGAAAAUAUAAAUCAUAUUCUAAACUAAUCCUAGAAUCAUGAUUAAUUCUUUACCCGUGCCUCAGGCCUUCAUCACAAACCCGCUUUGUGAAUAUGAUACGACGGGGCAUUCCCUGGUGAAUAAGUACAAUGUGACCUCGGGGCAUUCCCUGGUUAAAUGAAUACAUUUCUUUCAAAACAAGAAACCAAACCAUUCAACACAAUUUCAAACAUUCAACAAAACCACGAGUCCUAAGUUUGCCUACCCUAAACCUAAGAUUUGCCUAACGACCCUCAACCUAAAACAUGCUACUAUCGAGAUCAACAUAAUUAACAUUCAUUUCAAUUAAAACAACCAACAACAAAUCGACAUAAACCCACAUUCAUGUUUAUUAAUUCUUCGAUUCCCGCCCUAAUUUCACUCUUAACCAAGGAUAAUCAACAUUAAUAUGAAAUCAACCAAUCAAAAUUGCUAAAAAACACACAAUCAAAACAUAUCAACAAUUCACACCAUCACUCACAUAAGAUUGACAAAAUUAUAAAGAAAGAGAUAAAAAUUGGACCUCAAAUGUUGCCUCAAUCAACCAAAUUCCUUUAGCAAUCACACGAGUUCAUAAAAGAGCAUCGACCGGAACUAUGCCAAUCUCGAACCAACAACGACCUCAACUCAAACCCAAAACUGAAUCGAAUCUGACCAAAAAUUGGAAUCUAGAACAACAUUUUUGUAUCCGUUUGAGCUACGGAUGGAAUUCCGACGAUAUUUGAACUAGAAAAUGAAGGGGAGAAUGGACUUCCAACGUGAGUUCGAUCGGAGUGAAGAUGAUGAUGCUUUUUCUGCGGGUUUUGCCGGAUUUCUCUCUCUAUUCCUGAUUUUUGGCUGCUUCGAUCUCAACCUUCUCUCUCUGUUUGUUUUUCUCUCUUCUUAUCUCUCUCAAUAGAUUGUCUGUGAGUGAUGUCAUGUGUGUAGAGCUGUGAGUACCUGGUGUUAAUGGAGUAUAUCCGUGAGUGUGUGGUGGGGUGCAUUCUUCAAAAAAAUGGCUUGGCUCAUUGGUGAGGUGUGUGUUCCUAUGGAAAUUUCCCUGUGUGUGAGAUUGUGAGUGAAGAAGAAAAGAAGAAAAAUGGGGGUCUGUGUGUAUGUUGAAAAUGAAAAAAAAUGGUCCCCCAUGUAUUCUUUCUUUGUGGACAAGAAAAAGGAGGGGGGAUCACAUGGGUAGUUAGGGUGGUGAUGGUGAUGUGUCAUUUUUAAUAGGACAGGUUGUUAGGAUAAGAUAAAUUAGUUAGAGGUAUUGUUUUUGUUUAUUUUUGUAUUUUUGUGGGAUAUAAUUACAUGGGGUUGGACACAUGGUAAGGUGAACUAAAAAUGAAUAAAAUUAGACUUCGGGAGGGACAAAAUUAGGUGUCUACAUCAUGCCCCCUUUGAAUGUAAACACGAAGUGUUUUCAGACAAAUAAGUACACAGCGAGACCAAAUUUUGACCCGACCAUUAUUCAAAGAAAGAAACAGAAGGAAGAAGGACAACCGGGUCUUGACUUAAGACAUCCUAUCUACCCAAGUUAUGAGAGAAUCAAGUCACGGGUAUUUCAACGGAUUGGAAAGAGAAGGACUAUGCUAAGUUGGAGAGUCUAGUGAGGUUCUGUCGAGGUUCCAGUCCGCGGCUCUAUUAUUACAUCAAAAGUGAAAAUUGCAAAUUAAAAACAUAAAUUAAAUUAAAAAAUCCUAUCUAUGCAGCUUCUUCUGGACUUUUGACUUGAGUUUCAUUACCCUAUUCUUCAGGUGGGCUCCUGACUUUAAAUUUCAUGAACUUAUUAUUUUGCUUUCAAUUGUUUCACCUCGUUGCUUAACUUUCAAUUUCCUCACCCUAUUCUUCAGGCGGGCUCCUGACUUGAUAUUUUUCAAUUUGCUAACUUUCAAAUUUUCACGUUGUUGCUUUGUUUUCAACUUCUUCACCUUGUUGCUUGACUUUCAACUUCUUCACNNNNNNNNNNNNNNNNNNNNNNNNNNNNNNNNNNNNNNNNNNNNNNNNNNNNNNNNNNNNNNNNNNNNNNNNNNNNNNNNNNNNNNNNNNNNNNNNNNNNNNNNNNNNNNNNNNNNNNNNNNNNNNNNNNNNNNNNNNNNNNNNNNNNNNNNNNNNNNNNNNNNNNNNNNNNNNNNNNNNNNNNNNNNNNNNNNNNNNNNNNNNNNNNNNNNNNNNNNNNNNNNNNNNNNNNNNNNNNNNNNNNNNNNNNNNNNNNNNNNNNNNNNNNNNNNNNNNNNNNNNNNNNNNNNNNNNNNNNNNNNNNNNNNNNNNNNNNNNNNNNNNNNNNNNNNNNNNNNNNUGUGUCUUCUAGAGAUACAAGUUUAAGUUAAAAGUGUGUCACCUGACAAACGUAAACUAGCAAGGAAGUGCGUCUCCUAAGGAUUAAGUGCAAUAACUCGACUAGAAAGUGCAUUUUCUAGAAAUCAAGACUCAAGUUAGGAAGUGAAUCACCUAAAAAUCAAAAUUCGAAAUACCCAAUCAAGGAAGUGCAUCUCCUUACCAAUGCUUCUUGAAUUACUCAAACAAGGAAGUGCGUCUCCUUACAAAUGCUUCUUGAAUUAACCAAACAAGGAAGUGCAUCUCCUUAGAAAUGUUUUCAUGAAUUAACCAAACAAUAAAGUGCUUCUCUUUACAAAUGUUGCUCGAAUUUCCUAAACAAGGAAGUGCAUCUCCUUACAAAUGUUGCUUGAAUUAACCAAACAAGGAAGUGUAUCUCCUUACCAACACCACUUGAAUUACCAAAAUAAGGAAGUGUGUCUCCUAAUAAAUUUUGCUUGAAUUAACCAAUCAAAGAAGUGAGUCUCCUUACAAAUGUCAAUCAAAUUACCAAAUAAGAAAAUGUGUCUCCUAACAAAUGUCUCUUGAAUUACUCAAACAAGGAAGCGCGUCUCCUCACAAAUGUUUCUUGAAUUAACCAAAUAAAGGAAGUACAUCUCCUUACAAUAUUGCUUGAAUUGUUCAAACAAGGAAGUGCGUCUCCUUACAAAUGUUGCUUGAAUUAACCAAACAAGGAAGUGCAUCUCCAUAACAACACCGCUUGAAUUACCAAAAUAAGGAAGUGCAUCUCCUAACAAAUUUUUCUUGAAUUAACCAAUCAAGAAAGUGCGUCUCCUUACAAAUGUUGAUCGAAUUACCAAAUAAGGAAGUGAGUCUCCUAACAAAUGUCUCUUGAAUUAAUCAAACAAGGAACUGCGUCUCCUCACAAAUAUUUCUUGAAUUAACCAAAUAAUGGAAGUGCAUCUCCUUACAAUAUUGCUUGAAUUGUCCAAACAAGGAAGUGCUUCUCCUUACCAACAUCGCUUGAAUUACAAAAAUAAGGAAUUGUGUCUCCUAAUAAAUGUCUCUUGAAUUGCUCUAAUAAGGAAGUGCAUCUCCUUACAAAUGUUGUUUGAAUUACCCAACCAAGGAAGUGCAUCUCCUUACAAGGAAGCGUGUCUCCUAGAAAUCUUUAAUUAUGAGUUUUACCAGGGCUUUAAAUACUAAAUAUUUGCAGAAAUAUUGUCUCCUUCAUUUGUGGAAGUGCGGUAUUGCAACUUUCAAUGUUUAGGCUUUGAAAUUGUUGAUUCGAAGGUAACAUGUGUUCCUAUUUCAUACAAAGAAAACUUGUUAGUUUAAAAAUAUGGUAGCUGGUUUGUGGCUUUGGCUUUCAUGGAAAUUGCUCUUGCCCCAGUCGUAUUUAAUCUUGCUUUCAACCAUUAGCAUGUGUUACUGGCUUGCUGUAUCAUUGACCCAAACUCAGAUUAUUAAGAGUGACUCUGAAACAAAUACAAUAUCCCUACUUUGUCAUGCUUCUUAGAUAAACCAUUUGAACCUUGGUAUUUCCAUGAGUUCCCAGACUUGUCGGUUGACAAAACUUUCUGCAUGCCUUGUUUUGGCUCACAAUCACGUCUUUAGCAUGUCAUGGCCCUUUUGUCUUGCUUUGUGCAAUUGAAGAAUCUGGUAGCCAGUUUUGAAAUCUUUCUCACUUAUUUUGACAUGAACUUGACUCAAAGACAAGAUAAAAAUGACAAUGACUUUUAUUUGGACACUUGACUCAAGAAAACAAAAUAAAAAUAAAGAGAAGAAAGAAAAGACAAUGAGUGUCCCCAUUUGAAACAAAUAAAUGAAAAAUUUUUCUAGACAUGACAGUCAACUCUAAUGAUUAUGCUAUGCAUUUUGGAUUAAGCUACCUGAUCUUUCCAUCCAAACUUUCUACCAAUUGUUGUUGAGUUAAUGGCCUUGAAACUGAGUUGCUCUCUUAGGCCAAUUGUAUUCAGACCUCAUUCGGCUAGUGACGCCUUGAAGGGUCUUUUCUUCAGCUCACCAUUGUCUUAUGGUGUUUGUGAGGGUUUUUACUAAUGAGACUCUUAUUCUCAUUUCUCCCAACUCACAAUCAUCUCACGGUGCCCGUGAGGGUUUUCACCAAUAAGACUCUCUCAUAUUUUAUUUCUCUCUUGAUUCCUUAUGCUGAGGAAGACAAGUAGUUCCCAAANNNNNNNNNNNNNNNNNNNNNNNNNNNNNNNNNNNNNNNGAAAGAAAGGAUGGCAUGAGGCCCAAACAACACUUAAAGUGGGUUAGGACUUACGACUUUUGGAAUCGACGCAAAUAAUGAGGAUUAACUCAUGCCCCAGUUUCUUUUGACUGGGUGAUUCUAAAUUAUUUAUUUGGUUGGACCGAGCCCUUAGUAGGGAAGCCUACGUAUCUCACCCCCGAGAGAGGAGAAUCAGGUCAUGCAUAGUUCUGGUAGCUUGUUCUUUUGCUUUGAUCUGAUUUUUCUUUUUUUUAUUUUAUUCUCUCUUUUCACUUUGCGAUUCUUUUUUUCUAACUCUAUUUUUCUUGACACUCCUUUUUUUAGAAACAUUUUUGUCUCUUUUUUGUAACUUUUUGACUUUAUCUUUUUACUCAACACUAUUCUUUGAACUUUGCUUACUCUAUCUUGAUUCCAAAAGAGGGGUAUAAAAGAAAAUAACACUAAGUCUCAAAUGGGGUAAAUAAAUGAUGACACAAUGUUUGGAUAGCAGAAUGAAAUGCCUUCAUCAUAUCAAUUCUUAAGAAUGCAAGUACAUAACAUGCAAUUAGAAGUGAGAGAUGAAGAUCAUUUGUGAUAUCUUUUUAAGUAGAUUGAGUCUGUGCGUCGCUACUUCUUUUGUAAACUAUACCUUUGUUGUACAUUCCUCACAUCAAAUGAGUCAUGCUUUCGUAGAGCUGCUUAUCUUCUUGUUUCUCUUGAUAUAGCGAUCACACGUCUACUAUUUGACCUAAUUAGGACUUGCCUUUCGAUCAAUGACCAAGUUGUUCUUGUGAUUCUCAAAAUAAUUGCCUUAACUUGUCACCAAAUAUCUCAGCACUCUAUCUAUUUUCUCAUAUGCUCUCUUUUCUAACUUUAACCCUCUGAUUUAAUAUUCAUGCUUAAACUGGAUUUUAAGAUCUGGCUGAAAAUUUCACUAGCAUGUCAUAUCACUAGGGUCAACAUAAAAUGUACUAUGUAAAGAAAACAAGCAAACAACACAUAUUUAAAACACAAAGAAAAAUAGGACACUUCAUUUAGUUGAAACAAAAGAUAGAAGGGUUUGAACAUAAACAACAAAAGGACAAAAUAAGACAGAUCCCAAACUACAACCCUGAAAUAAUUCAGAGAAUAGAAAAUAAAACAAAACAAGCUACCAAAUCCCUUCCUACUAAGGAGAGGGGUGACUUCUCAAUUGCUCAGCCUGACAUCUUAGCCACUGGUUUGCAUAUCAGCAUGACUAGAGCUUUCCUCACUAUUAAUGUUCUGCACCAUGAUUGAUUUAUCUUGAAUCAUCUUUUCAAUUUCUCUUUUCAAAGCACGACAAUUUUCAAUACUGUUACCCUGAACAUCGGAAUGAUAUAUACAUCGUACAUUAAGAUCAAAACUUCUUGAAUGUGGGUCAGGAGUAUACCCAAGGAGGGGAGUGAUCAUGCCCUGCUGUACCAAUCUCUGGAAUAAACUUGCAUACGACUCUCCAAUAGGAGUAAAAUUAUCUUUUUCCUUCCUCAUCAUUGCAAACUCUGUCCUUGGAUAAAACGUGGAUUUAGAGGUUCCUUGGUAAAUUUGUGGGGGUUGAGGAUGAUGUUGAGGGACAGGUGCAUUCCAUUGUGGAUAAGAAGGUGGAUGGGUAAACAAUUGUGCAUUAUUCAAAGGACAUUGAGGAAGUGGAAUGAAACUCUUUGUAUUUUGAAAAGAGGCACCUUGUUGCAGAUGAGUAAGUGUAUUUGAUAUGUAAGCUCGGGAUUGAGGCUGACAGUAAGUGUAUUGAGUAAGUGAAACAUCUUCUUUACCCGUAGGUCCUAGAGAAUUUUUCAUAGCAUUUUCUGCACUCUUCAUUUUUCCAACCAUUUUCUCCGACUCUUCUAGCACACUCGACUUCUUGUUAAGAAAUUUUGGUGGUUCAUUUAACUUAAAAGCAGGCUCAAGAGUAUAACAAUGAUCACCAAAAGUAUUGAAUAUAAGUUCUCUAGCAGCAUGGGGAUGGAUAACCGUUGGGCGAGCCAGUGUGGAAGUCCCAGUAGAGGAUUGAGCAACAAGAUCGCAGACGACAUGUGAUGUUGUGAAUGUAGCAGGCUUAUGCUGAGGAGCUAGAGGAAAACUGGUGGAAGUAUUGAGAUGCUUUUGGAUUGGAAUGAAUUCUGAGUCAUGUUGCGGUACAUCAACAAUAGUAGAAAACUGACUUUAAGAUUUUGGUGGAAAACUAGGGGUAUUUGUAGGAUCAAUAAAGGGAAAUGAAGGAGGAGGCAACCCACUGGCCCAAGCUCGAUGCAUUUCUAUCAUUUGUUGUCUUAGCCUCCUGACCUCUUGCCUUAAACUCUCAUUUUCCUGACUCUUUGUUUCAUCCAUGAUGUCACUCUCUAUAUCCUUGUUGGACACAACUAACCCUUCCUUGGAUUUGGUGUUAUGUGGAGGACCAGCCAGGAAGCCAUAAACCAACCACCUUAAACUAAUUGAACAAGAGGUAACAACUAUGUUAGAGUUCAACAUUUUUUCUUCAAAACUCUUUUUUUUUAUAGAAAAGAUCACCGAACCCAAGAAGGGCGCCUACGUAUCUCACCCCCGAAAAAAGAGAAUCAGGUGUGCGUAGUUCGUGAAGUUUUGCCAAAAUGAAAAAUUAAACUUUUUCCUUUCUUUUUUUUCUUUUCUUGAAACUUUAAAAAGAGGAAGAAAAUAACAAAUUGCCAAAAGAAUAGACUCUUUUUGCAUUUUCACGUUUAAAAUUCCUAUACAAAAUGAAACCUAUGGUUACCAAAGAAAAAUCUUUUUGGAUUUUCAAUUUUGAAUUUCAUAUGAAAAUGAAACUUGAACCUAUUAAAGAAAAAUCUUUUUGUAGUUUUCUUUUAAAGAUGUAUAUGAAAAACUUACUCUAAAUAAAGAGUGAAGAAAAUCUUUUUGAAUUUUUGAAAUAAGAUCAACCAAAAAUGAAACCUACGACUAUUGAGGAAAAUCUUUUUUUUCUUUUUUUUUUUAUAAUUUCUUUUCAAGAUAUGUAUGAAACACCUACUCUAAAUAAAGAGUGAAGAAAAUCUUUUUGAAUUUUUUAAAUAAGAUCCCCGAACCAACAAUAGACUGCCUACGUAUCUCACUCUCGAAAGAGGAGAAUCAGGGGUGUGUAGUUCAUCAAGAUUGGAUAAUUAAUUAUUAAAUAACAGGCUAGACCCUGACUUAAGAGACACGACCAAAGACAGAUGAUGAACCAUGUUAAUAAAAUCUUUUGAUUUUUCAUUUUGAUACUUCACAGAAAAAUGAAAUCAACAACUAUGAAAGAAAAAUCUUUUUGGUAUUUUCGUUAUACGAAAUGUAAAAAAUUUCUAACAUUUUUUUUUGUAUUUUUCUUUUAUAAACACAUCCUAUGAAUGAAAAAAAUCUUUUUGAAGUUUUCGAAUUGUGAAUGCAUGCUAAACGAGACAAAGGAAAAUCUUUUUGAUGUUUUUGAGAAAAUGAGUGCGAAAGGUAAAAAAGUCCUUUUGAAUUUUGGAAUUGUGAAAAAUAAAAGCCAUAAAAAACUCUAAAAACUACGAAACUCUUUUAGAUUCAUUCUUUUCUACUCACUUUUUCUAUUUUUUUCUUCUUUUUUUUUCUUUUUCAUUUUUGGCCUAUUCACCUUACUCCUAACAAAUGUUUUUUUCCAAACGUGAAACUCUAGAAAUCCAAACCAAAAAAGAAAUUGUUGAGAAUAGGGAAUCAACAAAACCCAAAUCAAAACUGAUUUGCCCCUUUUUAGGAGUAUCCGAACUCGGUUGUGGUUUUUACUAGAAUUAAUGGAGGAAGCGGUUGUUUUCCAAUGGGUCAUUUUCGGAGAGAGACGGCAGAUUCUGAUGAACCGUUCGCUGGAAAACUCAAACCAGGCAGCUGAGGUAUCUCCGUUCUACGUUUUCACACUUCUCACUCGAUUUCAGCUCACUCCCUCUCUUUGUUGCAUCUUUCUCUCCGCUCCUCACCGUUUUUGAUCUCCGGUCACCCUUGAUCUCUAUCCCUCGUGUCAUUCUGCUUCCAGCUAUCUCUCUAUUUCUCUUCUCUACCUCACGAUCUCUCUCUCAAUCUCUUUACUGUGUGUAUUUCCGUGGCUGUGCGUGAAUGCGUGUAUUCUAAGGGAAGAGAAAGAAGGGAUGAAUAUGGUGAAUCUCCCUUCUUUGAUCUGUAUAUGUGUGUAUAUAUCCUUGAAGAAGAAAAGAAGAGCCCCCUCUUUUUCUUUUUAAUUCAAGACCCCAAAAAAAUGAAAAUCUCCCCACUUUCUUUUUGGAUGUAAUUGUGUAUGUAUACGUGAGGUUGAGUGAAUUUGUUUUGCUGUGGGGCCCAUGUAUGUGAGGUGUCCUGAGGGAAAUUUCCUAGAAAAUUCCUUCUAGUUAUAUCUCUUUGUGGACAAGAAAAGGAGAGGGGGAGGUGUUGUUUUUUAAUUGGAGGGGUAAGGGUUAGGUGUCUUAUUUUAAUUGAAAGGGUUGUUAGGAUGUUAAAAAGAAUAAAAGUUUGUUAGGAAUUUUGUUGAGAGUUGUCUUUUUUGUAUCUUUUGUGGGAUGUAAUUACAUGGGUGAGGUAUACGGUAGGAUAGGGUAAAAAUGGGUAAAAAGUCAAUUUUGGGAGGACAAAAUUAGGUGUCUACAACAUGCCCCCUUUGAAUGUAAACACGAAGUGUUUUCAGACGAAGAAGUAGACAACGAGACAGAAUUUUGUCCCAACCAUUAUUCAAAGAGAAUGAAAAAAAAGGGAGGAGGGAAACCGAGUCUACACUUAGGAAAUCCUACCUACCCAAGUUACAAAGGAAUCAAUUGACACAUAUCUCCAAGGAUUGGAAGAAGAUGGACAAUAUCGAGUUGGAGAGUCGAGUGAGGUCCCGUCGAGGUUUUGGUCUGCGGCUUUGUUAUUACAUCAAAAAUGAAAAUUACAAGUUAAUGUUACACCCCUUUUUUUCUUAAAACUCAAAAAAAGAUAUCAUUUUAUGUUUGAAAGAGUUUUAUUAUUAAAGUGACAAAAAUGAAAAAUUUGUUUCGAAGAAGGAUUGUUUUUACAUUUGAAAUAAGAGUCGCCACUAGGCAUAAUCUGGUGUGCCAAGUCACCAUUGGAAAAUCCUUUUCAAAACUAUUUGACUCUUUAAACUGGUUUGCGAACAGAGAUUCCAGCUAAAGAAUUUUGUUGACCGAGGGGAAGGUGUUAGGCAACCCUCGAUUCUGUGGUUCGACCACGGUUGCUUGGUGGAACAUAUCAGCUAAUUCGACACUAAGAGUGUAUAAACCACAAAAAAAUAUACAAACCAAUCAAUCAAACAAACAAACAAACAAAUCCAAAAUUAUAGUGUUCAGUCCAAUUAUUACAAUCCAAAAAUAGAAAAAUGCGAAAAAUAUAAAUCCUAUUCUAAGCUAGUCCUAGACUAAGCUCCAAUGCUUCACCCGAUGCCUCGGGCCUUCAUCUCGAUCAUCUUCCGCCAACAUAGUACAUCGAGACAUUUCCCGAUGAAUAAAUACAAAUACCUCGAGGCAUUCCCCGGCCAAAUGAAUACAUUUUUCAAAUGCGGCAAACAAGACAUUCAACAUAUAUUUCAAACAUUCCAAUAAUCCCCCCAUUCUAAAUUUGCCUACCCGGCCUAAUGUUUGUCUGCCCGCUCGACGACAUAUCACAUUCAACAUCAACCAUAAAUCAAAAUACCAUAAUAUUCACUUUUUACUAAUUUUUGAUCCCUGUCCAAUUCAUUCUCAACCAAUGAUUAACACAACAUCCAACACUUUUCAAAUCACUUUUCAAAAUCCGAAACCAACAUCCAACACAUACAUCUAACAAAGAUUCAAACUAAGAACACGAGUCAUCCACAGCAACAAUCAAUAUUUUUGCUCAAAGUAUUCAAAACCAUACCAUAAAAUCACAACAUUAACCAAAAUUCGAGAAAAUGAAAGAGCGAAGUUAAGAGAUGGACCUUCAAAGAAUCGAUUUCAUAGAUAAUAUAAAAUUAAAGGAACCUGAAUCCGAGACCCCAAAUAGGAAAACCUCAAUAGCUAUGAAAUCCAAGUACGGUAUUGAAGAACUGAGACAUGAAAUGAAAUUUAAUGAAUGGGUUAUGACAAACCGAAGCCUAAAUCCCCAAGCCAACAAUGACUACCGAUGACCUCAAGACAGAAAUUACAACGGCACAAACCCAAAUCAAAUUGCGAAGCAACAAGAAAACCGUACCAAAAUUCCCAUACCAGUCACAAUUUCAACCGUUUUCCAAUGAACUUCACUGAAAUUGGACUGAAAUGGAUCAAACUUGGUCGAUUUUGUCUGAUUAUGGGGUCGAGCCGAUGCUGUUUUGGUCAAAAAUCAGGGCUAGUGAUGUUUUCUAAUAGAUUUGACUAGAUUUGUAAUGGCUUUGGCAUGUUUCCGGCGAGACUGUCACCAGAAUAGUAACCACCACUCUCUUCUCCCUCAAUUUCAAUCGCGGAUCUCUCUCUCUCUCGCUAUCUCUCACUGUGUGGUUAUGUGUAUCGUGUGCAUGUAUAAGUGUUUCUUCUCCGGUGAGGUGUGUUAAUGGCCUUCUCGUGAGUGAAUUAUGGGUGUAUAUAUGUUGUGAGGUGUGCUAGAGAGUGUGAGUGGGGAUUAUUUUUUGUGAGCCCUUUUUUUCGAAGGAUCCCCCUGAAAAAGAAGAAGCCCCAAAAAAAUAUUUUCUCCCUUGGUCCCCCCUUUUUUUUCUAUUUUUGUUGUGUAUAUAUGGUAUAUGCAGAUAGUGAGUGGAAUUAUGAGAGUGGGUGGUGAUGUGUUGUCCAAAAUUAAAGGAGGAGUGGUUAAUUUUGUUACCAAAAGAAUAAUUGAGGAUUAAGUUUGUUAGUGGGUUUGUUAUUAUUUUUUUUUGUAUUUUUGUGGGGUAUAAUUCACAUGGGUAAGAGUGUAUGAUAAAGUGAGGUAAAAAUGAUAUCGGGGAGGGACAAAAUUAGGUGUCUACAGUUAAAACAUAAAUGAAAUUACAAAAAUUCUAAUCUAUGCAGCUUUACUUGAGUUGAAUUUCAUCACUAUAUUCUUCAGGCGGGCUCCUGACUUGCACUUUCUUCAACUUGUAGCUUGCCUUUCAAUCUCUUCACCCUGUUCUUCAGGUGGGUUCCUCACUUGCUAUUUCAUCAACUUCUUGCUAUGCUUUCCAAUUUCUACACCCUGUUCUCCAGGCGGAUUCCUGACUUUCUAUUUCAUCAACUUGCUGCUAUGCUUUCAAUUUUUUUCACCCUGUUCUGUAGGCGGGCUCCUGACUUGCGAUCUCAUCAACUUGUUUCUAUGCUUUUCAAUUUCUACACCCUGUUCUCUAGGCGGGUUCCUGACUUGCUAAUUUUCAAUCUGUUUAACUUUCAAUUUCUUCACCUUGUUGCUUGGUUUUCCAUUUAUACGCCCUGUGGUUCGGGCAUGCUCCUGAAAUCACAUCAAAAUUGAAAAGAAAAUUAUCCCAAAUAAAGAAAUGCAUUUUCUAUAAGUUAAUUGGAAUGACUCGACUAAAAGGUACGUCUUUUAGGAAUCAAGGGGGAUGACUCGACUAAAAGGUACGUCUAAUAGGAAUAUAGGGGGAUGACUCGACUAAAAGGUACAUAUUAUAGGAAUCUAAGGGAAUGACUCGGCUAAAAGGUACGUCUUCUAGGAAUCAAGGGAAAUGACUCGACUAAAAGGUACAUCUUCUAGGGGUCAAAGGGGAUGAGUCGACUAAAAGGUACGUCUUAUAGGAAUCAAAGGGAAUGACUCAACUAAAAGGGACGUUUUAUAGAAAUCAAUAGGAAUUACUCGACUAAAAGGCACGUCUUAUAGGAAUUAACGGUGAUGACUCAACUAAAAGGUAUGUCUUCUAGGAGUCAAGGUGAAUGACUCGACUAAAAGCUACGUCUAAUAGGAAUCAAAGGGGAUGACUCGACUAAAAGAUACGUCUUUUAGGAAUCAAAGGGGAUGACUUGAAUAAAAGGUAUGUCUUAUAGGAAUCAAAGGGGAUGACUCGACUAAAAGGUACGUCUUAUAGGAAUCAAAGGAGAUAAUUCGACUAAAAGGUAUGUCUUAUAGGAUUCAAAGGGGAUGACUCGACUAAAAGGUACAUCUUAUAGGAAUCAAAGGGGAUGACUUGAAUAAAAGGUAUGUCUUAUAGGAAUCAAAGGGGAUGACUCGACUAAAAGGUACGUCUUAUUGGAAUCAAAGAGGAUGACUCGACUAAGAGGUACGUCUUAUAGGAAUUAAUAGGAAUGACUCGACUAAAAGGUACGUCUUUUAGGAAUCAAGGGGGAUGACUCGACUAAAAGGUACGUCUUCUAGGAAUCAAGACUUCAGUUCAGAAGUGCAUUACCUAAGAAGAAAAUUUUGAAUUACCCAAUCAAGGAAGUGUGUUUCCUUAUCAAUGUUGUUUGAAUUAUCAAAACAAGGAAGUGCGUCUCCUAGAGAUCUUGAAUUAUGAGUUUUACCAUGGUUUUGAUUACCAAAUUUAUGCAGCAACCUUGCCUCUUGCAUUUGUUGAGGUGAGAAAUUACAGCCUUUAAUGUUUAGGCUCUGAAAUCCUUGAUCUGAAUGCAACAUGUAUUCCUAUUACAUACAAAGAAAACUUGUGAGUUUAAAAACAUGGUGGCUAGUUUGUGUCUUUGACUUUUGAGGCAAUUGAUCCUGCCCCCAUUACAUUUAGCUUUUCUUCCAACCAUUAGCAUAUGUCAUUGACUUGUUGUAUCAUUGACUAGAACUCAGCUUAUUAAGAGUGACUCUGAAUCAAACACAGUAUUUCUGCUUUGUCGUGUUUCUAUAAUAAACCCUUUGAAUCUUGGUAUUUCCAUGAGUUCCCCGACUUCUCUGUUGACAAAACUUUCUGCAUGCCUUUUUUGGGCUCAAAAUCAUGUCUCUUUCAUGUGCUAGCUUUUUUCUUGCUUUGUGCAAUUAAAGAAGCUGGUUGCCAGUUUUGAAAUCUUUUCUCACUUGUUUUGACACGGACUUGACUCAAAGACAAGAAACUAAAAAAAAAGAAUGACAAUUUUUGUUUUAAUAACUGACUUAAGAAAGAUAAAAUUAAAAUAAAGAGAAGAAAGAAAAACAAUGAAUGUCCCCUUUUAAAAUCAAAGAAAUAAAAAAUUCAUCUAAAAAUGACAGUCAACACUAAUGAUUAUGCCAUGCAUUUUGGAUUAAUCAGCUUGAUCUUUUCAUCCAAACUUUCUACCCAUUGUUGUUGAGUUAAUGGCCUUGAAACUGAGUUGCUUUCUUAGGUCAAUUGCAUUUAAGACCCCAUUCGGCCAGUGGUGCCUUGAAUGGUUUUCGCCAACAAGCUUCUUUCAUUUUCUCUCGGCUCAUUAUCGCCUUAUGGUGCCCAUGAGGGUUUUCAUCAAUAAGACUCUCUCAUUUUUAUUUCUCUCAACUUGUCAUCGCCUUAUGGUGCCUGUAUGGGUUUUCACCAAUAAGACUCUCUUAUUUUUAUUUCUCUUUUGAUUCCCUAUGCUGAGGAAGACAAAUAGUUUCCAAAUGCAUCAUCAUAUCCCUGGCAUGCUCCGCCUUAACAUCCUCAAAGAUUGAUUUGAAGGUCUUUCUUUGGUUGUAACUUGUCUUUUGGAUAAGGUUAGAAAGAAAGGAUGGCAUGGGUCCCAAACGACACUUGAAGUGGGGUAGGACUAACAACUUUUGGAAUCGACUCAAACAAUAAGGAUUAACUCAUGCCCCAGUUUCUUUUGACUGGGUGACUCUAAAUUGUUUAUUUGGUUGGACUGAGCCCUGAGUAGGGCAGCUACGUAUCUCACCCUUGAGAGAGGAGAAUCAGGUCAUGCGUAGUUUUGGCAGCUUGUCUUUUCCACUUGAUUCUAAGUUUUUUUUUCUUUUGUUGACUCUUUUUCUGGGACUUUUCUGACUUUAUUUUUCUCGAAACUCUUUUUUUUUUUUCUUUUUGACAUACUUUGACAUAUUUUUCUCUUCUUUUUUUUGAAACUUUUCUGACUCUACUGUUUUGCUCGACACCUUUUAUUUUGAGCUUUGUUGACUCUAUAUGACUCCAAAAAAGGGGUAUGAAAUAAAAUAACACUAAGGCCCAAAUGGGGGACAAAGGAUGACACGAUGUUUGGAUAGUAGAAUGAAAGGCCUUCGUCAUAUCAAUCCUUAAAAAUGCAAGUACAUAUCAUGCAAUAUGAAAAUGAAAGAUGAACAUCAUUUGUGGAACUUAAACAACACUAAAGUCAACUGAGCGUGUAUGUCACUUGUUUUUCUACAAUUGUCAAACAUACAACUCCAUUUUCGUUGUACAUUCCUCAUGCUGAGGACUCAUGACUUUGUGGAGCUGAUUUUCUUUCUGUUCCUCUUGAUAUAGGAUCACACAGCCACUAUUUGACCUAAUCGAUACAUAUAUUUCAAUUGAUGACCAAGUUAGUCUUGUAAUCUCAAAAUAAUUGCCUUGAUUUUGAAAGAAGACUUCAACUCGGUUACCAAAUGUCUCAACACUCUAAAUAUUUUCUCAGAUGCUUUUUCUAACUUUAACUCUCUGAUUCCAUGCUCAUGGUUCAACUGGAUUUUAAAAUUUGGCUGAAAAUUCCGCAGGCAUGUCAUAUCACUAGAAUUAACAUAAAGUUACUGUAUAAAGAAAACAAACAAAUAGCACAUAUUUGAAACACAAAAGGAAAGGGAUACUUUAUUUAAUAGAAAUAAAAGAUAAAAGGGUUUGAACAUAAACGACAAAGGGACAAAAUAAGAUAGAUCCCGAACUACAACCCUGAAAUAAUUUGAAAAAUAGAAAAGAAAGCAAAACGAACUACCAGACCUCUUCCUAGUAGGGAGAGGGGUGACUUUUUAAUUGCUCAGCCUGACAUAUUAGCCACUGGUUUGCAUAUCAACAUGACUAGAGCUUUCACCACUGUCAGACACAUUUCCUUCAACAAAUAAGCUCUGGAUCCGCAUGCUUAACUCAUUGCCUCCCACAUAUUGUGCAGUACCGCGUGCUGGUGAAGAACUCUGUGGGAUGGUCGAAGGGCCAAUGUUUUGCACCACAAUCAAUUUAUCUUGAAUUAUCUUUUCUAUUUCUCUUUUCAAAGUGAGACAAUCUUCAGUACUAUGACCCUGAACGUCAGAAUGAUAUGCACAUCGCACAUUAGGAUCAAAGAUUCUUGAAUGUAGGUCUAGAGUAUACCCAAGGAGAGGAGUGAUCAUACCCUGCUGUACCAAUCUCUGGAAUAAACUGGCAUAGGAUUCCCCAAUAGGAGUGAAAUUAUCUUUUUUCUUCCUCCUCUUUGCGAACUCUGGCCUCGGAUGAAAUUUGGAUUUAAAGGUCCCUUGGUAAAUUUGUGGGGGACGAGGACGGUGUUGAGGGAUAGGUGCAUGCCAUUGUGGAUAAGAAGAUGGAUGAGCAUACAAUUAUGCAUUGUUCAUAGGAUAUCGAGGAAGUGGAAUGGGAUUUCUUGGAUUUUGGAGAAAGAAACCUUGUUGCAAGUGGUUAUGUGGAUCUAAUAUGUAAGCUCAGGAUUGAGGCUGACAAUAUUGGUGGGUUGGAACUCUCAAACUCUACUUUGGCCCUGUCAUGAUAAUAGGUGUGUUUUCCUUCUUCUUUCCUUCAGUUUCCCUUGGUUGAUUGCAAUGUCGUCCCGAAUGUUUCACAGAAUCCUUCUGUCCAUCAGGCUCCCCAAAUUUUGAUGUCUCAAAGCUGGGAGGAAGGUUAACACUUGAAGAUAUGCCCCAGCUUUUAUAUGAAACAUCUUCAAAACGCAUAAGUCCAGGGGAAUUUUUCAUAUCAUUUUCUACACUCUUCACUUUCCCAACCAUUUUCUCUGGCUCUUUUGGUAUGCUAGGAUUCUUAGUAAGAAAUUUUGGAGGCUCACUUAACUUAACUGUAGGCUCAAGAGUAUACAAACGAUCAUCAACAGUAUUGAACAUGGAGUCACUAGUCGACUUAAGAAGCACAAUUAUUGGAUUGAUAGAUAAAGUGGAAGCCUUAGUGGAAGGUUGAGUAACAAAAGCACAGACGGUAUGUGGUGCUGUGCAUGUGGUAGACUUAUACUGAGGAGAUAAAGAAAGAGUGGUGGAAGUGUUGAGGUGCAUUUGACGUGGAAUGGAUUCUGAGGCAUGUUGUGGUGCAUCAACAACAGUAGGAAACUGACUUUGCAAUUUUGGUGGAAGACUCAAGGUAUUUCCAGGGUCAAAAGUAGGGAACGGAGGUGGAGGCAUCCCACUGGUCCAAGCUCAGUACAUUCCCAUCAUUUGUUGUCUCAGUCUCAAAUGCUAUUCCUUUAAAAUCCCAAUUUCCUGACUCUUUGUUACAUCCAUGAUGUCACUCUCUAUAUCCUUGUUGGACACAACUAAUCCUUUCUUGGAUUUGGUGUGAUAUGGAGGACCAGCCAGGAAACCACAAACCAACCACCUUAAACUAACUGAACAAGAGGCAACAAAUAUGUUAGAGUUCAACAUUAUUCAAAAACCUUUUUUUUCUUGAAAAAAAAUCACCGAACCCUAGAAGGGCGCCUACGUAUCUCACCCCCGAAAGGGGAGAAUCAGGUGUGCGUAGUUCGUGAAGUCAUGCCAAAACGGUCAAUUGAACUUUUUUUCUUUUUUUUUUCCUCGAAACUUUAAGAAGAAAAGAAAAUAACAAUUUGUCAAAAGAAUUGACGAAAAUGUUUUUGAAUUUUUCAGCUUUAACAUCCCUAUACAAAGUAAAAUCUAUGAUUACCAAAGAAAUCUUUUUGGGUUUUCAGUUUUAAAUUUCAUAUGAAAAUAGAACUUGAACCUAUUAAAGAAAAAUCUUUUUGUAGUUUUCUUUUAAAGAUGUAUAUGAAACACCUACUCUAAAUGAAGAGUGAAGAAAAUCUUUUUGAAUUUUUGAAAUAAGAUCAACCAAAAAUGAAACCUACGACUAUUGAGAAAAAAAAAAUUUCUUUGUAUUUUUCUUUUCAAUACAUGUAUGAAACACCUACUCUAAAUGAAGAGUAAAAAAAAUUUUUUUGAAUUUUUGAAAUAAGAUCAACCAAAAAUGAAACCUACGACUAUUGAGAAAAAAAUUUUUUUUAAUUUUUUUUAAAUAAGAUCCCCGAACCAACAAUAGGCUGUCUACGUAUCUCACAUCCCCAAAGAGGAGAAUCAGGGGUGUGUAGUUCGUCCAAUUUGGACAAUUAAAGAUUCACUGACAGAUUGACCCUAACUUAGAGACACGACCAAAGACAGACGAAUAAAAUCUUUUUGAGGUUUUCAAUUUGAGACUUCACAUAAAACUGACACCAACAACUCCGAAAGAAAAAUCUUUUUGGCAUUUUUUGUCAUAAGAAAUAUACAAAACUUCUACCAACUUUUUUUCAUUUUUCUUUUAUAAAAGCUCCUGUAAAAAAAAUCUUUUUUGGAAUUUUUGAAUUAUGAAUGCAUGGUAAAGGAGUAAAGGAAGAUCUUUUCUUUAAGAAAAUGAGUGCGAAAGGUAAAAAAUAUUUUUGAAUUGUGAAAAAUAAAAGUCAUAAAGAACUCUAAAAAUAAACUACGAAACUCUUUUUUUUUGUUCACCCUUUUUUUUCAACACUUUCUUGUCUACGCACUUUACUUCUAACACAUGUUUUCCCCAAAUCGGUCCGUCAAAUGACCACAUUACCCUCAGAGAUGUCACAUUUAGCGCGUAGGGAUGCUUUAGAGGUAAGUUUCCUUCAAAGGACCGUGUGGGUCCCUCUAGGUCUCAAUAUGAUGCACAUAAGAAUAACCUAAAGACUGACCUACGUUAUGGUUUACUAACAAGGCUGUUCGGGGAAGCAUAUGGUAGAUAGUGGCUACUUUGCUUUCCACCUACUCCAUACAUCCAAUGGCUCCCCCCUAAAAUAAAGGUGACUCAGCUAGAGUUCGUGCACACGACGUGCGCUCCGAGACUUGUUGCGAAAAGAAUGACUGAAGUUAUGCACAUGAUGUCAGAUAUAAAAGCGGUAACACAUAGGAUAAAUACUGUAAACAAAGAGCACGAAAACACACAAAAGUGAAAACACAAACAAAAAUCACAAACAAUGCUUAUACACUCGUAAUGCCAAACAAAGCGGAUACUCGGAUUCUGAAAUAGUUCCCCAGCAGAGUCACCAAAGCUGUCACACCCCUUUUUCGUACUCCAAAAGAUUAUGGAUUAAGUUUUGAAAGGAUUUUUAUUAUUAAAGUGACAAAAGAUGAAAAUUAGUUUCGAAAAGGACUUUUUAUAUUCAAAACUCAGAGUCGCCACUCGGCAUAAUCUGGUGUACCAAGUCACUUUUGGAAAUCCUUUUCAAAAUGGUUUUUGACUCUUCUAAACUGAUCCGCGAAAAGAAAUUCCGGCUAAGGAAUUUUGUUGACCGAGGGAAAGGUGUUAGGCAUCCCUCGAUCCCGUGGUUCGACCACGGUCGCUUGGUGGAGCGUAUCGAGUAAUUGACAUUACAAAUGUAUAAACCACACAAAAACACAUAAAACAAUCAAUCAAACACACAAAACAAAACAAAUCAAAAAUUUAGUGUUCAGUCCAAUUAUACAGCCCAAAAUAAAUAAAAAUGCAAAAAUAAAUUCUAUCUAACCUACACUAAUCCUAACUACGCUCUCGUGCUUUACCCGAUGCCUCGGGCCUUGAUCACGAACCUUCUUUGCUUACAUGAUCCGUCGGGGCAUUUCCCGAUGAAUAAACACAAUGUGUCUCGGGGCAUUCCCCAACUAAAUGAAUACAUUUGAAUUAAAUACGAUAAACUAGAAAGAAACAUUCACACGCACAUUCCACAUUCAACGAAACACCCAAGUUCUAAAUUUGCUUACCCAACCUACGUUUGCCUAUCAAUUGUCGGCCUAAACAUGAAACUAUCACAAUUAACAAUAUUGAUGAAUCAAAACAACAAUAUUCACUUUAUCAACUUUUAAUCUCAAUCCCACCCCAAAUUCAUUUACAACCACACGAUUAACUGAUUUCAAUAGAGAACCAACUGAUCAAGUCACGAUAAUUAUAAAAGCUCAAACACAUAAUCUGAAUCAUAUCAUCAAACUCGUACAAUUCACGUAAUUAACAUCAACACACCACGUUAAAAUAAAAAUAAAAUAAGAACAGAGUUGAAGAAAUGGACCUCAAAUGAUGUUUUGCAAUUAUAAUGAUAUCAGCAUCAACAAUAGAUGAAAGGAGCGACUUCGAACACGAAACCUCGAAUAAAAACCAAA